rnacentral:lncRNA from 1 species
GAUUGUUUAAGUAUAAUUGAAGCAUGUAGCAUUUGAGAUUAUAAGAUGUUUGAAUGAGCUUUAUAUCACUUUUGAUAUUACUGAUUAAGUGCAUAUUUUUCUUUGGAAUGGAAAAUACUUGAUGAUUUUAUGUUUUGAAAGAUAAGUUUUUACUUUGUAAGCAUAAUGUUUUUAAAAGUAUUUGAGAUUUGUUGCUUUGAUCUUAAAGCAUUGAUUGUCAUGUUAUAUGAAAAAAUGUGUAUUUUUUUUAAAUAAACAAAUUAUAUUUGAAUUUGGAAGAUGGAUGCAUGAUAAAUGUUAUUCAUGUGAUCAUGUUUAUUGAUGAGAUAUAUGUAGCAUACAUAGGUUGAUUUGAUUGAAAAAUUCUUUGCAUAAGGAUUUUGGAAUAAAUAUAUUCUUAAGAUGAUUAAGCAUAAUGGUAUAAAUUGUUUAUGUUAUUGAUAGGAUGUUUGAAGAUGAUUACAUAUCUUAAUUCAAAGAUAUAUGUUAUAUUGCAUGCAGACUUAAUAAUAAAAAUAAAUUGGAUUUAUAUGAUAUGUUUAUUGCAUUCUUUAGAAUGACUUGAUUAAGUUGAAGCGAGACUAAAAUUUGAAAAGAAUAAAGUUUUGAUUGCAUGUUGUAAGAUUUGGCUAAGGUAGAGUAAAAUAUUCAUUUUACGUGUUAUUAUUACUGUUCAUGUCGGUUUCAGAGUUUUCUAUUAGGAACUUUCGAAAAGUUUCUUCUGAUGAAGUAUAGGCUUUAUCUCUACAAAGAUUUUGACAUAUUGUACAUGUCGUUUGGAUUAGCAGUUAUUAAGAUAUGAAUUUUUGAUUGAGUUCGGUUGGAUUUUAGUUAUUGCUUGUUUCCGAAAAAUCCGUCAGUCUUUUGGAAAAGAUUUCUUCUGGUAGGUUGUAGAUAUUAGUUAAUUAUGAGCAUUUGGAUAUACUACAUGUCUUGUUUGGAUCAGUCAGUAAAAAGAUAUAAUUUUUCUUGUAUAUAUUUAGUGUAAUUCGAGUAUUUCAGCUUUUCUGCUCGAAACUGUCCGAAAUUUUCAAAACUUUCUCUUAGAUUGUGUGGAUUUCUUUAAUAAGAUCGUUUGGACAUAUAAUUUGCUUUAUUUGGAAUUUUGGUUAGAGAGUUAUGGAUUUUUGAAUAUUAUGUCAUGUUUAAGAUAAAAUUGGUGAUAUGCAUGUUAAAGCAUCGUUGAGCUUGGAAUAAUAUAACAUCAUUCCAUUCGUGACAAUAACAAUAUAAAACUCCGAAUAGUGGUCUAGUUUAUUUAUUUAUAAUAAAUUUUGUCACAACAUAAUAUGAGUUUGAUUAUAUAAAAUAUUAAGUAGUUAUGGCAUAGAAUUGAAUAAAUGUUGGGUUAUAUAUUUGAUAAUAUAGUUUGCAUGAGUUAAUGAUUAUCUCCCUUGCUGUUUUAUUUCGGUUUUGAAUUGUAUUAUAUUUGCUUUAUGCAUAAGUAGAUAUUUUGAUAAUUGCGGAUAAUUGUUUAGAUAACAUGUUCCAUGUUUUGUGUAGAAGCAUGAGUAAAGUUUGAUUAGUUAGCUUAACUUGUUAAUAGCAAAUUGUAUUGUUAAUAAUUCAGUUCAAAUCAUGAUUUGAGAAUUUGAUUUAUUGAAAGAAAUAUGUUUCUGCAAUAUUUUGAAUAUUGAUGAUUUUCAUAGAAAUUUAAGUAUUGUAUUUCGGUAGUUGGAAUUUUUAGCGCCUACAAGCAAAUUGGAUAUUUUGAAAGUAUUUUAAUCGCAAGAAUGAUAUAAUUAACUGAAAGCUCUUAAUUUGUAAUUCAUUUUUGUAUACAUGAAUAACCAUGUUGGAGGAUUCUUUUCAAAUACAAAUUAUUGUAUGUUUUUAGUUCUGCUGAUGCACCUUAUACGCAUGUGAAUAUAAAUGUAUUAGUCUUUCUAUAGGAAUUUGUAGCGAAGAUUUUUCUUGGAUGGUAUACGAUAACACUAUGUACUAGUAUGAUGCAUUUUAACUGGAUAAGAAUUCGAACUUAGUUAGAAGAAUAAUUUUUUUUUUAUUAUGCCAAAAAGGUUUAUUAGUUUGGUAAUGUGUAUAGAAAUCUUAUAGUGUAUAUAUUUAUAUUGAGGUUUUGAACUUGAUACCUUAUUUGGGUUGUGCUAGUAUGUUUGCGAUACGUUUUGAAUCUUACUUUGGAAAGUUCAUUUAUCUGAGAAAAUAAAAUAAGAUAUAUCAUUUUUAUAAUCAAUUUAGAAUUAAAAAAAAAUAGAAAUUCAGAUAUGUAUUAUUAUUACAAUAAGGUUGUUUUGAUCGAUAUGGCUGAUGCAUGAGUAAAUGGUUUUGUGGUGUUCCUGGUUUGGAAGUGACAAAAUUGAAUAUUUAUGUUAUAUUGAAAAAUAUUAAUAAAUGCAUAUUUAGUGUGGUUUAUGGUAUCCUUUUGAAUAUUGAAUUAAUGAUGUAACUUGAUGUUACUUGCCUUUCUUUUGAUUCGAAGUGUUGUAAACUCUUUUACUUAGGGCCGGCUUUAAGAUUUGGAGGGUCAUUUGUAAUUGCACACAUUGCACUCCCCCGAGCUGACACUGCUUUUACUAGGAGCUAGUUGACUCUAGCAUGACUAUAUGAUAUAUUAGAGAUGUAUGUUGUUUAUCCAUGUUUAUUUUUUUUAUGAUUGAGGUUAUACGUUUUGAUAAUAACAUUUACAUUCUCUUACGGUUGGCAGAACUUGACCCCAUGAGUUGGGUAGAGAUUUCUAUUAUUUGUUAUCGGUUUAUCUAUUAAACGUUGAUGUAUUUUAGAUAAGAGUGAUGGAUCCUCUAGCAUUAUUGGAUACGUAACCUGUGUACUGGGAUGGUUUUGGAUAAGGUAGUGUCAUAUUAUGAUAUUUAAUUUUGUUUGGAUACUCUUAUGAGUUGUUGGCUAUGUGUGGCUAUUCGGUGUGUGCGGGUCUCGUACCCAAAGAAACACAAGAGAUGAUUGGAGUCAUGUAUUGACUAAGCUAAUGCUUGUGAUAAAGAUUAUAAGUUUGGACAUUGAAUGUUCUACCCAUAAGGUUGAUAGAGACUUGUCUCCUUUAUUUAGUCUUCUAAUAGACAUUUGUAUGAUAUAAUCAUUUGCCGCAUGUAUAUUACUAUUUACAUAUCAAAAUUGGCGAUGUGCGGUUGAAUGUAUCGAGACACAUUUCAUAUGGUACCCUGACAUUCUCCUGACACUUUGUUGUAUUGUUAGAUGCAUAUGUAUUAACAAUGUUUUAUAUCGAGCUAUUUAUUGUAUCUAAAUCAUAUGAUGAUUAUUUCUUUUUAUUCAAUAUAUUGUUUACCUAGCUUUAUUUUGAUGUUUGAUUUGAAUCUCGAGGACGAGCUUCCACUUUUUAAGGGGGUAGAAUGUAAUUGAGAAACUACAAAUAGUGCUAAUCUAACAAUUGAAUAUUCAACCAAAUCAAACAAUACGCAGAAAGUAAAUAACACACAGGAAUUUUUAACGUGGUAAAACCCAAUAUGGGAAACGUCCACGGUUGUCCUCGCGACAACAAAUAAAUCCACUAGAUGCAAAGAGAUGUACAAACCUAUCAACUACCUGCAAUCACUGCGAGUUGACACUACUGGUUAUCUCUAACACCUUGACUUCACCAGAGCACCUUGAUGUACGCACAAGACACUCGACUUCUUGAUGAACACACAAGAAGACUCGAAGCCGAACUAUGAAACAAGCUUACACCAGAGUUCCUUGAUGAACACACAAGGAUACUCGACUUCUUGAUGAACACACAAGAAGACUCGAAGCUAAAUCAAUAUAAACAAUAAUGAAGAAGAAGAUGAAUGGGGAAGAAAGAAGAUGAGUUCAAUCACCAAAACCACCUAAACCAAAACCUAAACAAACUCCAAGACUAGAGAUGAAUUGGACGGCCAAAGAACUUGAAACCGGCACGAAGUGGUUUGACAUCAAUUUUGUGACAAAGUGUCCUUGGUUAUCUCGCCUUGAAUUCAUUGUUAGGAAAAUCAAGAUGUACGCAUGGUCGUCUCGUGUCCUUGUGUCUCUUAGGUCUGUCCAGGAAAAGUUAUUGGUUUCUGGACGUACGUACCGGAUUAGGACGUACGUACGUCCACUGAAGCAGCAAACAUCUUUUGGUCAGGACGUACGUACGCAGUUAGGACGUUCGUACGUCCAAGUAGGCAGCAGACAUGUUUUCGUAUGGAGACGUACGUACCGAGUUAGAGCGUUCGUACGUCAUGUUAGGCAGCAGGCUUAUUUUUGUGUGGCGACGUUCGAACGUCAUAUCGACGUACGAACGUCCAAAGUCGGUUUGCACUGUUUCGGCCCAUUUUCCUUGGUUUCCAACCCUAAGUAUAAAAAGGGUUUCUCUUCCAAAGAACAAGUCAGUUCUUUGGCCGUCCAUUCUUCUUCUAGUUCAUGUGUUUUGGUUAGGUUUUUGAUAUUGAAAGUGUUUGUGGCUAUUGAACUCAAUUCCCUUUCUUCCCCCUUUUCUAAAUUCAUAUCCUUGUGAUCUUCAAGAGUUAUUGUGAAUUCGGCUUCGAGUCUUCUUGUGUGUUCAUCAAGAAGUCGAGUGUCUUGUGCGUACAUCAAGGUGCUCUGGUGAAGUCAAGGUGUUAGAGAUAACCAGGAGUAUCAACUCGCAGUGAGUGCAAGUAGUUGAUAGGUUUGUACAUCUCUUUUCAUCUAGUGGAUUAUUUUGUUGUCGCGAGGACAACCGUGCACUACAAGAAAAUCUGAAUUAUACCACGGACCUAUGAUUUCCUUAGCCACGGUUCGGGUCAGUGACAAAAUUAGCCACGGUUUGGGUCCGUGGCAAGUAUGGUAUAGUCCGUGGCGAAUGUUUGUUCCAAUUUUUUAAAUUUGGGAGAAUUUACUUACAGUUUCGAACUGUGGGGAAGUAUGUGAUUUAGAACCAUUGGAUUGUUAAUUUAUAUCACAAGACAUAAUCUACGAUUAAUAAUAAUAACAUUACCCAAACCCAAACCCAAACCUUUCUCGUUCCCACUCUUCUUUCUGAAAAAAAAAUUUCAGGUUUGUGCCAAAGAACCCUAAUUCUCUCCUUCAUACUCUUUUUUUCCUUAAAAAAAAUUCAAAUUCGCUGCGCCCACUCAUACUCUCGCUAAAGAAAUCUGAAACUAAAUAAUUUCUUUGAGAUCAAUCUGGACAUUCACCACAUUGAAGGUAAACUAGUUCUCCAAAUUUAGGUUCUCAUUUGAAACAUAUAUUGUUAUUCACCAACAGAUCAAUCUUUUUUGCAAUCUCUCUCUAUGAAUAGAGUUCUAAUUUUGGUUUUCAAAAGUUCUUUGCUAGGGUUUUGCUUAAUUGAGCGACUCUUCAAUGAUUCAAUUCUAAUUGGGUAAGGUAAUUUGUUUUUUCCUUUUAUGAUUUGGGAGCAUUUACUUAUUCUUUGUAAUUAUGUUAAAAAAAAAAAGGUAUAAUCUUUGUUAAAUUGGAUUCUCUGUGAUUCCUUGAAGGUUGAACACUAAUAACAAUUCAUUAAUAAACCAAACAGGAUGCCAGAUUAGAUAAGUGUUCAGGUUUAAUUGUAUAUAUUGAACCAUUCAUCUCUGGCUUUGUGAAGUAUGCCUUAAAUAAAUAUAUUUGGCUUUCAGCAUUUUAGCUUAGUAAGUGAAAAAUGCAGAAAUGCAAACUAGUUAGUGAACAAGCUAAUGUAAAAUUCUUUAUGUGGUCAUAUUAUUGGGAUGGUCUCCUAACCGUGGACAAGCUCCAACGAAGGGGAAUGGUGUUGUCUAAUAGAGUAAUAGGUGUUUGUCUUUGUAAGGAGGCAGAAGAGAGUAGUGAACAUCUCUUCAUGACCUGCAGGUUCACUAGGCAAAUUUGGGAGGAGUUGUUAGUGGUUAAGAGGGAAACACAGCACACACUGGACAGCUGGACUGCAUCCUCUGAACUGCUCACAAACUGGCGGGAAUUCAACAGUACAAAGAUUGCUCAGUUCCUAUGUGGAGUCUUGCCCGAUGGAGUGAUGUGGUUCAUCUGGAAAACAAGGAAUGGCGUGAUUUUUAGGGAAGGUGAAACAACAGUGGACAAAACAGUGCAGGCCGUCAAGGCGACAAUAUGGAGUUGGAUGAAUAUAAGUCCUAAAGUAAUGGAGAUGAGACAGAACAAGAGGUACACAGAUUUACUAUUUGGAUGAUAUGCCAGCCUUGUUUUCUUCCAUUGUUUCGCAUUUAUAACUCAUAAGUUGUAGUCAUAGAUAUGAUAAUACUUAUAAAAAAUUCUGGCGGUAAUCAGAUAUAUAUGCUGGUUGGUUAGUUUAGAAAAGCAUGGUCCCAGAGUUUUAUUCUAGUUUCGUACUCUUUUCUAAGCAAUUGUCUAACAAUAUACAAAUGUAAGCUGUUGCUUACCAGUUAACUCCUUAUGUAAUUUUUUUUAUGUAAUUUGUUAAUUAUAUCACCAAAAAAAUUAUAACUUUUUCUUUGUGAGGUAAAUUACACUUUUCAUUUGGCAUGGAAUCACUGUAAUAAUUUAGGUGGUUUUUAAUAGUGCUAUAAUUAGAUGAAUAUUUGUGUCCUCAUUUUUUGUGCUCAUUGCUAAGUUCUUAUUGCAGCUGGAAGCUAUCCAAUUCAUCACAUCCCACAAGUCCAUCGUAGCCGCAGCUAAGAUUUCUGAUCUUAUGGAUAUUGUCAUUAAAAGCGUAUCGGGUCUUGCAGUAUUAUCUCAGGUCCGUUUUUACUAACCUAGGUAGUUUGCUUGAAUUGAAGGAGUCUGUCAAUGAACAUGCACACAUGGUUAUAUAGUCCUUCAUAGUUUCUCACAAGCUUACUUCUUUCAUCAUGAUGCUUGCAUUCACCUGCUCUGUUCCAUUUUUUUUUUCUUUUGUCUAAUAUAUGUGUUUCAUUGCUCAGGAAUUACCUGUAUAAUGAAAAGCAUGCAACCUACACUAGAAUUGGUUGUGAGUACAACGUCUGAGGGAUCAACUGGCCCUGUGGGUGGCACUUCUAAAAAGUGAAAAUCACUUGCAGCAUACAAAAUUUUCUAAGGUUGUCCAUUGAGUUACAAUAUUAGAUGUAAUAGUGUUUUUUAAGCUGAAAAAUACUUAUUUGGUUAUUGGAUCUAAUUGUUAUCUCACCUUAUAUAAUAAGAAUUAUGAUUAUUUGUGUACUGUAGGUUUACUGCAUCAGCGUCUGUCUGUAGAAUGGCUGAGGCAGCACUUGCACAAGUCCUUGGACAGUAAUUACAUGCAUUGGGUUCAUAUCUGAAACAUUAUCUUGAUGCAGCAGAUGUUGUCAUCAAUAAAAUAUUUGAGCUUUUGACAUUGCUUCCAAUCACUCGUAAGGUAUUCUUUGAAUUUGUUUAUCUCCUUUUCUUCUUUUUUUCAAGCCUGCUUUAUGUGUGAUAGCAUGAUCAAAUUGAUUUGCCUGUGUUUGCAUUAGUGUUAGGACUUAAUCUUUUUCUAUCAGACAUCAGUUCAGUUGGCAAAACUGAUUUGCCCGUGUUUGCAUUAGUGUUAGCACUUAAUCUUUUUCCUUUGAUUGUUUCAGAAUUUUAGAAUUACGGAAGUUGUUCUAAAAAUACCAAUUUAAUUGUUCUUAACCAGGUUGCAGACCAUCUGGCCACAUGAAAGCACACAUGAAAUGCCCAAUAAUCUUUUGUGAUCCUCUUCAAGAGGAACUUUGGAACUUGUAAUGGUGUCUGAUGUGUAUGAUUUGUUAUAAGACUUGUUUCGAUAAAGAAAUCGUUGUAAUAUUGGUGUUCAGAUGGGUUGGAAGAAAAUAAUAAAUCUAAUAUUAAAUUAUGAUUUCAUAUUAUGCCAUGUGGAGGUGCAAACCAUAUGCAGGGCAUUAACUAAUUUCAGAUUAUGCAGGGCUUUAGCUAAUUUCAUAUUAUGCAGGCAAUUUUUUUUUUUCUGAAAAGAAUUCAGAUUUCCCAUGGCUGAGAAAUGUAGCUAAUUUAAUUUUUUUUUUUUUUUUUAAAUUCCAGAUUUGCCACGGUUUUGAACAGUAGCUAAUUUAAAAAUUAAAUUAAUUUUCAAUUUUUUUUUUAAAAAAAAAAAAUAGUUUGCCACGGUCUUGGACCGUGGGGACGAUGACAAAUUGCCACGGUUGAGAGCCGUGGCAAAUCCCACGGUUUCAAACUGUGGCUAAAUAAAACAUUUUGCUACGGACCCGGACCGUGGCAAAAGAAUUAGCUACGCCCUGAACACCCACGGUCUCGCCACGGUCGAAAACAGUGGCUAAUCCUGUUUUGCCACGGUUCCGGUCCGUGGCAAAUUUGAUGUAUUCUUGUAGUGGUGGACGUUUCCCUGUUUGGGUUUUACCACGUUAAAAAUCUCUGUGUGUUAUUUACUUUCUACGUAUUGUUUGAUUGCUUGUUUGAAUUCACAUUUGUUAUACUAGCACUAUUUGUAGUUUUACAGAACUAACUUGUUCUUUGGUAGAGAAACCUUAUUUAUACUUAGGGUUAGAACACACACAAAAUGGGCCGGAAUAGCUGAAAUCCACAUUGGACGUACGUACGUCGAAAUGACGUUCGUACGUCUCCUUACGAAACAAGCUUGCUGACUGCUUGGACGUACGAACGUCCUAACAAGGUACGUACGUCCUGACCAAAACAUGUUUGCUGCCUAACAUGACGUACGUACGCCCUAACUAGGUACGUACGUCCUAAACCCAAAACUCAUACUUUUGACACAAGACGCGAAGACAAGGACACAGGAUGACACACGUACAACAAGGUUUUCUUAACAAUGAACUCAAGGCGAAAUAACCAUGGACGACCAAUGUCACAAAAUUGAUGUCAAACAACUUAGAGCCGGUUUCAGUAAUACCCAAGAAUCUGCAGAUUCAGAUGGAGAAGAAGGUUCAGUUGGUUGAACCAAAUGGGCCGAACCGACCCAUUUCAUGUUUUGUUGACCCGUUUUCAUGGUAUAAAAACCAGAUCUGAUUUUCAGCACGAAUUUUCUUAUUAAAAAUCAAUUAAGAAACUUAAGAAGAAGAAGAAGAAAAACCUUCUAAAACCUAGGGUUUUGAUUGGGUAUUGCUUGCUUACAUUGUUUUGAUUACUUGGUGGUUUGGAAUUGGAUUUUCUUUCUUGUUUGUGUAUCUUGGUUAUGUUCAUCUUCAAAGGUAAGUUAUAUUACUUGAUGUUUUCUCUUACUUUCUAGAUUAGGUUGAAGUAACCCCUUGUUAGCAUGUUUAAUUCGUUUAUUAUAAUUGAAUUGCAUGAUAAAGUAUGAUUUAGUAAGUAUAACUAUGUAUUAAUGCUGAAAUUUAACUUUAAGAACAUAUUAAUAUAGAAAUUGGUGAUUUAAAACAUGCUUAAUGUUAAUUUAAUGUCUCAAAGCAUAAUGGAUGAUUAUAUUACUUAAUUUGUACUUUGUAUGAUGAAUAAAGCAUGAUUAUAUUGAAUUUAUUAAUGCUAAAAUUUAUAUUUUAAAAUAUGUUAUUAUUGGGCUUGAAGAUUUGACUUGGUAUUGUAGUGAUUGACUUGGUAUUGUAGAAUUUCCUGAACUUGACAUCAUACUUGUUUAUGUUGUUCGUCAUAUAUGGACAAUGAAUGGAAUAGAAUGGUUGGAUUGAACCAUGUGUUGGAUUAGAUUUGGGCGUGUUAAACAAAUUAACAUAAAACCCGUAUGAUGGGGAGACGUCCCGGAGUGUUGUCACAUGACAUAGCUCGAUGAGUGUAUGACUAUGAUGCGUACGACUCGGUGCUACUGCACAACUUUGUAUAUGAAUUUCAUGGAUUGCAAUUGAUGGAUUUGGAUGGACUUGAUGAUUUGGUUUGAGAUUGAAAUUGAUGGACUUUGAUUGAUUAGAUUGAUUUGGGCGUGUUAGUUAUACUAACACAGGACCCGUGGAUUUUGGGCGUGUUAAUUCUUGUAACAAAGGACCCGUUGGGAGACGUCCCUAAGUUAUGUCAAAUAACAUAACUUGAUGUGUGUAUGCCUGUGAUGCGUACGACUCGGUGCUACUGCACAACUUGGCACUUGAUGCAUGGAUUUGGAUUGACGUAAUAUGAUGGAUUGGAAUUACUGGAUAACGACUUGAUCUAAUAUUACAGACUGAUUGAUUGAUUGAAAUAGAUUUUGAUUAUUUGAUUAUUGGAACUGGAAACAUGAUUGACAUUGCGGAUUACCAGAGAAUGAUCUUGUUGAUUUAUUUAUCAUUGUGUUAAAUGUUAGAAUAAAUUGAUUAGUAUUUAUAAUUGUUUAUCUUAAGGAUGCGCAGAUUCCUUUUCUGGGAAUUAAGAUCGAACCUCAAGUUCUGUAACUUGCUGGCAUUUAACGUCUUCCCUUUUCCCUUUUCAGGAUACAAGUGUUUUAGAGAUGAAGUGUUCGAUAAGAUCUUGGUGGAGGUUGUCUUGAGUUGCUCAUAUGUCUAGUUGGAGUUUGAUGAGUUGUAACCUUCGGUAUGAAUCUGAUGUAUUUUUAUGUUUAUAUAGUUUGUAUUUUGUUUAGUCUUCCGCUGUUAGUUUAGUAUUUGUUGUUUAUUUUAUUAUGUUCUUCUGUGGUCUAGAGGUGUGAUGUCACGUAACAGUAGUGUGACCCUACGGUCCAUGGAGGACAUAUGGAGAUCAUUAUGACUCUGUUGCCCGGUUUUGGCCUGGCCAGCUAGGAUCGGAUUUCAGGGGCGUUACAGUUAGGGCUUGAAUUCUUGAUACAAGAACCAUACCCGAACCAUUUUGUAUUAGAUGGAUCUGACCGACCUGUCAGCCCCGGAUUUUAUAUUAGACCAAACAAACAUCUGAAUCUCUGUGUUUUGCAUACACACCACAUCCCAAUAAAGUACUAAUCAAGUAGAUGACUUUGGCUCCAUCAGCUUGCAGGGUUUUGUAAAGCAACGAAGAUAUUGCAACAUUCGGUAGCAGCAACUUUGAACUGCAAUACACAGCUUGGUUUUGUACUUAGGUACAAUGUGUCGUUGAAUUUUGUUUAGUUGAAAUGAUGAGUGAUGACCUGAUGGGGUUUAAACCUGCUCAUCAGGAUUGUAUAAUUGCUUAUGGUGAUUAAUGAAAUUUUAAUUUUGUCCAAAACAAAAGCCAAAUAUGAAAAUAGUGAAUCAUAGUACAGUAUUAGUCUUCCUGAGUUGUUAGAAUAAUUGGUUUUCUUUCCUGUUAUUAUGUAUAAACUCGUCCCAUGGGGCAUCUAAGAGAAUAUGACGACAUACCUUAGUAGAUUGAGUAGUGACUACCCCGAUUUUGAGCAAUUGUCUUUACUUGCUUUAAAGCUAGCUCAAUGGUAUAAAAAUGCUUGCCCAAUGGGAAAACCAUUCCCCUGGAUCAUGCAUUGUUGACAAGUCAUUUAAUCCGUGUAAUAUACGAUUAUUUUUUUAUACAUAUAUAUCUACACAGAGGGGUUCAGGUACCGUCUGUCCGCAUGCGGAUCGAGUGCAUUUAUUGGAAAAUUUAAAAAACAUUAAGGCCCUGUUUUUUUUAAUUGUAGGUCAAUUUUAUUUGUAACUUUCCAAAAUACCCUCGAUUGUUGCUUUAGACUUAACCCCCUAAAAAUAUGAGGGGUAUUUUAAGAAGAAAAAAAUAAAAAUAGACGUUAAAUUUGGCAGAAGUAGACGGAGAGGGGGUACAAACCAAACUUGAAUAAAUAGAGGAGUUUACUCAAAACGUGACCAUAAAAAGGGGGGGGGGGGUUAAGUCUAAAAAUCCCCACAAUAUGCGACCAAAGUUGUUUCGAAUCUUUAUACUAAAGAACUGAGAUAGUUGGAAAAUAAAACCUAAUUAAUUAAGUACCUCACCCAGAGGAGUCAAACUCUACCACCUCCAUUACUCAACAUUACUAGUUUGUCCAUGAGAAUUUCCGAUGCCACCCAUUCUAAUUUACAUCUUCAGAGAAAGAACUAGGUACAAAUUUGACAAAACUAGUGGCAGGUAUGUUCUCUGUCAGUGCAUCUGCAAGUUUGUCUUUACAUAUAAGAGAAUCCCAAACGAGGAGUUGUCUUUACAAUAAUAUCAAAUAACUAGGGUCUGUUUGAUUGGUCGAUGUAAUAAUUCCCGAUAUUUCCCUGGGAACUUUUGACACGACCAAUCAAACAGACCCCUAGUCUUUCAUACAGGUAAUCAUCUUAAACAACUUCCCUACGUAAUGAUAUACUCACUUCUUCCUAAUUAUCCUAUUGUACAGUAUUGGCUGAACCCAAACUGGAUAUAGUGGUUGACGACGUUCAUUAUUGAUCAUGUUUUCAGAGAAAAGUGGCUUGAGACUUGAGUCUUCUAAGUUGAAAAUUCCCGUAUCAUGUUUGCAAUUGACACCACCAAGGCUAUAUGCGAAGUAGAUGUGAUUGGAUUUGCAUUGGUGAAAAUCUGAUGCUAGUAGAGAUAAGGAAGUUUUGUCACCUAAGAACAAGGUAUGUCCUCUUAAGUUCCUCACUUCAAUCCACUUUGAUUCAAAUGCUCCACUUUGAUUCAAAUGCUUGGAAUUUGAAGAUUUGAAAUCCAACUGUGGAAUGAAAGUAGUUUUUAUCAAGAACAACUUCCCUUUCAACACAUACAAGGUCUCCUUGAAGAUUCCACAAGAUACCAAUUGUAACUACGAUAUGAUGAGGCCACUCUUGUUAACUUGGGUUUUCUUGAGCUAAUGUCACAUAACACAAAGUCAUGUAAACCAAGUGCAUACAGCUGAUCUUUAUAAAAUAUAAUGUUAUAGAAGGUGCUCCAACAUUUCUGAUUAUCAAUACAGGUCCAAGAUUUAUUAAUUACCUGUCUUGAAGAAGGCCAAUUUACGUUCCAAACCAUAAAUUGCCAUGCACUACAUAAUUGGACGUCCAUGUCGGGUUAUCCGAUAAGACAGUCUUCUCAAUUCUAUUAUCUAGUGAAGGGAGUUUGAUCACUUUGUUGACAGAUAAAAAAGGAUUCCAGAGUUGAAUACUAACUACACCGGCACAAUAGUACCCAUUUGUCAAUAACCAUCCGUGGCUUGAACUUUUGCAGCAGGGAAUGUAUCCUGAAAACCCAAUAUGUGCAAUAUGAUACUAAAACAAACAAGAAUAAAACAAUAAAGAAGUAAAGAACACACGAUAUUUUUAACGUGGUAAAACCCAAUAUGGGAAACGUCCACGGUUGUUCUCGCGACAACAAAUAAAUCCACUAGAUGAAAAGAGAUGUACAAACCUGAGAAACUACAAAUAGUGCAAAUCUAAUAAUUGAAUAUUCAAACAAAUCAAACGAUACGCAGAAAGUAAAUAACACACAGGAAUUUUUAACGUGGUAAAACCCAAUAUGGGAAACGUCCACGGUUGUCCUCUCGACAACAAAUAAAUCCACUAGAUGAAAAGAGAUGUACAAACCUAUCAACUACCUGCAAUCACUGCGAGUUGACACUCCUGGUUAUCUCUAACACCUUGACUUCACCAGAGCACCUUGAUGUACGCACAAGACACUCGACUUCUUGAUGAACACACAAGAAGACUAGAAGUCGAACUAUGAAACAAGCUUACACCAGAGUUCCUUGAUGAACACACAAGGAUACUCGACUUCUUGAUGAACACACAAGAAGACUCGAAGCUAAAUCAAUAUAAACAAUAAUGAAGAAGAAGAUGAAUGGGGAAGAAGAAGAUGAGUUCAAUCACCAAAACCACCUAAACCAAAAACCUAAACAAACUCCAAGAAACAAGAGGUGAAUUGGACAGCCAAAGAACUGACUUGUUCUUUGGAAGAGAAACCCUAUUUAUACUUAUGGUUGGAAACCAAGGAAAAUGGGCCGAAAUAGUGAAAACCCACUUUGGACGUACGUACGUCGAUAUGACGUUCGUACGUCUCCAAACAAAAAUAAGCCUGCUGUCUACUUGGACGUACGAACGUCCUGUAAAGGUACGUACGUCCAGAACACAAACUUCUCUGCUGCCUAACCAUACGUACGAACGUCCUUAAGAGGUACGUACGUCCUGAAACAAACAUCAUACUUGAGACACACGACGCGAAGACAAGGACACGGGGCGACGCACGUACAACACGGUUUUCUUAACAAUGAACUCAAGGCGAAAUAACCAAAGACACUUUGUCACAAAAUUGAUGUCAAACCACUUCAUGCCGGUUUCAAUCUCCCCCUUUGACAUUGAUUUUGUGACAAAAACCUAUGACUCUAAUAGACUUAUAAAACGUGCUUACAAACCCAAACCAUGGCAUUUAUAAAACAUGCCUACAAAAUCACUCAAGGUAAAACACAUACCGAGUCACCAAUUCUUGAUAUCUAGCUUGAGUAAGACGCUUUAACCAUCAGAGACCGAACGGAAGCAACUAAGAAUUUUCGAAGCAAUCAAGGAGCCAACAGAAGUUCCUCGAACAACUCCCCCAUACUUCAUGAACUCCAAGGUUUAAUACUCGAGGUUACCCAAAACUGUACAUACACUUAGUGAUCAUCAUCACGUUCAAUCCAUCAUAUAUGUUCACUCCCCCAUACAUGUAGUAUACCUGAAACAUGACCCAAAACUGUACAACCUCUAAACAUCAACACGUUCACUCCCCCAUACGUGUAGCAUACCUGAAACAUAACCCAAAAAUACACUAACAAGGAAGAAGAAGGUGUUAGUAUUAGAGUCAUAAAUCUCCCCCUUUUUGUCACAUAUGAAGCAAGGUAACAAAAGAAAGAGAAAAGAUAAAUACCAAACCAUAACAAAUAAGAUUAAAGAAGAAAAAGUAAGAGAACAAUCAUGUUAACAACAAAAAGGAUAUGCAACGGAAGUCAUAAAAUAAACACUUGUUAACACGAUGUCAAUACAAAGAAUUCUCCCCCUAAACAAAAGCGUCACCUAAAUGCAAUGCAUAUGAGAAAGAUGCACCUAGAACAAACAAACCAAAUAAGGAUAUUUGAAACACACAAAGAACCAAUCAUACAAGGGUAGAAGAGAGUAAAGAGAAAACCAUACCAUAAAUCUGGAAUCCAUGACACACAAAACUAAAAAACAUGAGAGAGAUCUAGGCAUAUAAAUGAAGAAGAAAGAGUACCAACACAGACACAAGACACUGAAUACUUAUAUAGGUAACAGAGGGAAGAAAAGAAAACAUAACAUGAAUCCCUGAUAGAAACCAAGAGAAUCCUAUACAUAGAAGAAAGAGUCAGGACACCAACAAUCGGAACAAAUGAUUCACUAGAAUAUCACUUUAAACAACCGACCAUAACCACCUGAGAUAGAGUCCAGAGAGACGACUUCAUAGUAGCAAGAUAUCUAGAGAAAAAGAGCAAACAAACAAAAAGGAAGAAAUACCAUACCUGAUGAAAUGGGGAAGGUACAAUAUAGACCAAGAACCAAAUAGUCAAACCUGGGAGAAAUGUGCAAGAAAAGAAUAUGCGAAAAGAGAAAGAAGAAGAGAUAAACAAUAGUUAGUAGGAGAUAUGAAAGAUAAUAGGGAAACCAUGCAUAUUAGACACAUCCAACAAUAUCCCAUGACAAAACUACAGGAAUAUGAGUAUCUGCAGAAAAAGAUACGUAAAGUAUAAGAAAAUCCAUUGAGAAUCCAUGGGGAAAUCCAAUCUGUACAUGUUCCUGAAACAAAUCAUCCAACCACAAAAAAGAAUUAGAGAAUCUUAUAAACAAGGAUAAGAUAAUAUUAUCCCAAACACAAUGGAAUAGAGACAUAAAAGGAAUAAACCUGUAAGCCCACCCCUAGUGAAACCCAAAAAUUAGUUCAACAUAUGCCAAACAAGAUAGACAAUCAUCAAGCUCAAAAAAAACUUUAACUGAAGAAUGAGCAAGGAUUAUCGAUGUCACCAAGUCACAAAGCAACAAUCCAACUUCAGAGUAAAUUUCCUGCCAGAACAGUAAGACUCCGAUGACAUGCCAUACAUUGUCAGAAAGAUUAGAGAGUCAAUAGAAGAGAAUUGCUAACAAUAGAUGACCAAACUGAGCAUAUGCAUCCCAAAGUAGAACAGUGGUAGCCCAAAACCAUUGCAUGAGGAUUAUUGCAGAAGACUACCAAGAACACAUCUAAUCAAACCUAUUGCAGGAAAAAAUAGGAUCAACCAGGCACAAGAAGCAACAAUAAGAGGAUAGGCAAGUCUCAUAAGCAUUUAAUCAAACACCAGCUAGCCAACAAGGUAAUUCAAGAAUAUUAGCCCAACAUAGAAAAGUAUGAUGAGAACCUAUGAGAAAACAUGAAUCAAUAUAAAUCAUGACAACCGAAUACACCAAUAACAUGAUUUCAUCACCAAAAUAUGCUUAUGCAUACCUUGUAGCCUUCUUAAAACAAAUUGAGAACUAUUACCUUGAGAAAUCACAUCAAACACAUGUGAUCCAAUGACAAAAAUAGAAAGCAUGAAGUGUAAAACCAAAUAAUACUAACAAUCUGACCUUAGUAUGUCAAUGAAACACCGACUGAAAAGAAUUACCAAGGAAUAGAACCAAAAUAGAGUAAGCCAUAAACACUUUCAGCAAGAACAUCUGCCUGUAAAGUUACUGAGAGAAAAAUAAAGUUGACGACACGCACAUUGUCCAUGAACAAGAAUCCGAAGAAAUGGCGCCUCUACUCCUUUGAGCACGAGGAGGACGUGUGCCCGAUGACGAAACACCCUUGGAACUGGGUGUUUCUUUGGUGGGAGUAGUCCGAGCUCGCUGAGGAGGCAUGUCCUGCACACACACAACAUUAUAAACACCACACAAGUAAGUAAAACCAACAAGACAACCAAGAAAAACCUUAGGAAACUCCAUUCAGGCAUUUCACCAAACACUUGGUGAGCAAUACAGAACAUAUAGGUAAAAACACUACAUGAGCAUACCAAAAUGAUACUAAACAUGUCCAAGAAACUCCACAACCAUUAAUAAUCACAAGAAGUUCCAAAAUUAUCUAGACAACAAGUAUAUAUCCAAUGGUAUGAACCCAACAUGAUCAUGGUAAACAAACUCUUAAUCCAAAGCAUAACAGACAAAUAAUAAUGCAGCAUCAAGAUAAAAUGAAAAAAACCUUGCUGCCUGAACAUGCGUACGAACGUAAUAACACCGUUCGUACGUUCCUCCAAAAAAAAUCUGCCUCCACAAACAUUCGAACGUGCUAAUAACGUUCGUACUCCCCCCCCUUUUUUUUUUUUUUUUUUAACAAUAGAGAACUAACCUUAAUAACAGAAAAACAAACCGAAUAACUAACAACACAAACCAUAAUAAGAAGAUAAAAGGAAAAGAACCGAUGUACCAUAAAAGUGAAGAGGAAUACAUCAAGAACUUCCAAAACAGUAGCCAAUCCCAAUUCGUACAAAAAUAAGAGGCAAUAUAUGGGAAUAAACAAAAGAUUGAACAAAUAAGAGAAUUGAAGUGCAUCAUAAACUAAACCUCGGUGUGUGUAGAUGCAAUGCAAUGCAUAAAGAGAGAGAAAGUUCACCACUAGAACACACCCUUUGAAGACCUAGAAUAUAGAACCAUCAACAAGAGACAUACGAUUAGAUUAGUAAGUGAGCAUAUAUAGAAGAAACAAACUUCAACCCCCUUUGAAACAAACGUUAUGAGUAGAAGGCAAACGAAUAUAAAUAUGAUAUUUCAAGUGAAAACCAAGACAUUAAAAAGGCAAAGGAAUAUAAACUUUGUAUGCCUUACAUAAAAAAAAAAACAAUGAAUAUGCGCUUGGAUUUUUAUUUUGCCGCAUGUGGUGGAGUUUAGUCUACAUCACUCUAAUGUCAUUCCCGCGUGGGAGGGAUUUUUGCCUCCAUCUUUUCAAAUACACGAGGGUAGGGUGUAGCCUACAUCUUUUUGACAAACACAAACUCAAGAAGUGCAAUACCAUGAUAACGUGCAACACAAGAACUAAGAUCUCUUGAGUGCAUCCGUCAGAGCAUGACCCUCACAACCCCAACGGGUUCUUAGCCAACUGAUAGCUUUAAAGACAAUCAAAUGGCUGGGGAUAAAGUGAGUCAUUGACCACUAACAAGAGUUGUAAGAGGAAGAUAAGAAUACUUAAUAACACAAACAACAAGAUGAACACUAACCAAAACAAAGGAGAGAUAGCUCAAGAUAACAUAAAUACUCGAGAGAUAGAGAAGUUCUAUGAGUUCAAAGAAUAUGUAAGUGGUUUCCAAAAAACUCCCAUUAUGCAAGCAUGUCGUGCACAGUGCAAACAAGCGAGGAAAAAUGCAUGAUACAUACCAAAACAUACUUAAGAGUUCAAAAAGAGAAAACACCCAAACAUAUUGCAACUUAUUUAAGACAAUCGAAUUAAACCAAUGUCUCAGAAAAGAUGUAACCAACAACACAUACAUGGAAUAAAUAAAGAAAAAUAGAAGGAAUAACCAACAAUGUAUUCAGACAUGCAACAUGAUCUGCAAGCUAAACAAACAAAGCAUAAAAAGUAGAAACACCAAACAAAUAGCCUAUGUGGUUAGAGAAAUAUGCAAUUCAAAUAACACAAGGCUAGAAACAACCUACAUCAUCCCAAAUAUGAGACACCACCAGACUUUUGCAAGUCCAGAAAAACCUGCAACUUAUCUUUUCUUACCCAUACUUGUUUAACACUAGGCGUGCACACCUUGGGAGUUGAAAAGAUAUGAGAUCUUCCCUUAACAAGCUUUUCAAUAGACUUGUCCUUAACUAAUUUCACCUUAGUCUUUGACUUCCUUUUGUCGGAGUGCCUGUUUUUCUUAAACCUAUGAGAAGAAGCAUUAAAAGUCCGAGGUCUAGAAAAUGCACAAGAAGAAACAUAAGAAUCAACAUGAUUAUAACGAUGAGGAACACGAGAAUAGGAUGCAACAUGUUGAUUAAAAUCCCAACAAAAGAUAUUCAAAUGACCAAUUCUACCACAAUAAGAACAAUGAAAAACAUCAGAAUGUCUCAAAGAGGUUUUAUAAGAAGAUAAGGCAGUAGUGGGUGAAACAUGUAAGUCACCAUUGUGUUUGUGACAUUGUCCCUUAACAAAACCUGUACCUCCAGUAUGAGAACAAGACGUCUUACCAGCAAAAACAACCUUACCAUUAGCCUUAGACUUAAACUUUAUGCGAGAAACAAGUUGAAAAGUAUUAGUAUUAAGUCUAGUCUCAAUAGGUGGGGUAGGCAAAAGGGCAGGCAAACUAGUAGAUUUUACAGGAGUAAUCACACUAGAUGAACUAGUAGAACUAUCAAUAGGAGAAUCAAAUCUAGUUUUGUCCAAAACCUGCAAUUGGAGUUGAGUAGACGUUAAAUCGUUCUUUGUUACCUCAUACUCCACCAAUAGAGAUUUGUAUUUCUCAUCGACCUCCUGAUUGGCCUUCUCUAAAGCUGCAAUUCUACAUAACAAGUCAAGUUUUUCUUUGUCAAAUAAUUGAGAAAUAGAAAUUGUAUCAUCUGCAGCACAAGAAAUCUGUUUUUCAAGAAUCUCAAUUUUAUCCUACAAAGAAAGAUUAGCCUUUUCCAAAUUUUCAAUUUUGGAUUCAUAGACUUCCCCUUGAAGCAUAUAGUCCUCUGCACAAUGUCUGAGUCGUUGUUCUAGAGAAUCAACCUUAGUCUGCAAAACACCAUUAUCUUCAAAACAAACAUUAUCAGAAAUAGUAGACACAUUACAAUUAGCUUUAUUAAAUUUUUCCUGCAAAUCAAUAUUAGCUUUUUGUAAUCUUUCACAUUCUUUUGCAGAAAGUCUGUAAAGAAGAGCCCAAUCACUAUUGCUAACAACAUACAAAUUAUCAUCCUUUUCAAAAUCAGAUUUUGGUUUUGUAGAUUUAGACGAUUUAACAAUAAAAUUAUUAUGACCAAACUCAUGAACCAUCAUUGCACUCAUAGGAUCGUUAGCGUGAGCCUUGGCGCUCCUUAACCAGCCCCCAGCGACUGAUACCAAUUGAGAAACUACAAAUAGUGCAAAUCUAAUAAUUGAAUAUUCAAACAAAUCAAACGAUAUGCAGAAAGUAAAUAACACACAGAAAUUUUUAACGUGGUAAAACCCAAUAUGGGAAACGUCCACGGUUGUCCUCUCGACAACAAAUAAAUCCACUAGAUGAAAAGAGAUGUACAAACCUAUCAACUACCUGCAAUCACUGUGAGUUGACACUCCUGGUUAUCUCUAACACCUUGACUUCACCAGAGCACCUUGAUGUACGCACAAGACACUCGACUUCUUGAUGAACACACAAGAAGACUAGAAGUCGAACUAUGAAACAAGCUUACACCAGAGUUCCUUGAUGAACACACAAGGAUACUCGACUUCUUGAUGAACACACAAGAAGACUCGAAGCUAAAUCAAUAUAAACAAUAAUGAAGAAGAAGAUGAAUGGGGAAGAAGAAGAUGAGUUCAAUCACCAAAACCACCUAAACCAAAAACCUAAACAAACUCCAAGAAACAAGAGGUGAAUUGGACAGCCAAAGAACUGACUUGUUCUUUGGAAGAGAAACCCUAUUUAUACUUAGGGUUGGAAACCAAGGAAAAUGGGCCGAAAUAGUGAAAACCCACUUUGGACGUACGUACGUCGAUAUGACGUUCGUACGUCUCCAAACAAAAAUAAGCCUGCUGUCUACUUGGACGUACGAACGUCCUGUAAAGGUACGUACGUCCAGAACACAAACUUCUCUGUUGCCUAACCAUACGUACGAACGUCCUUAAGAGGUACGUACGUCCUGAAACAAACAUCAUACUGGAGACAUACGACGCGAAGACAAGGACACGGGACGACGCACGUACAACACUGUUUUCUUAACAAUGAACUCAAGGCGAAAUAACCAAGGACACUUUAUCACAAAAUUGAUGUCAAACCACUUCAUGCCGGUUUCAAAACCUAUCAACUACUUGCAAUCACUGCGAGUUGACACUACUGGUUAUCUCUAACACCUUGACUUCACCAGAGUACCUUGAUGUACGCACAAGACACUCGACUUCUUGAUGAAGACACAAGAAGACUCGAAGCCGAUCUGUGAAGCAAGCUUACACCAGAGUUCCUUGAUGAACACACAAGGAUACUCGACUUCUUGAUGAACACACAAGAAGACUCGAAGUUAAUCUCAAUAUUCAAUAAGGAAUAAGAAGAUGAAUGGGGAAGAAGAGAAUGAGUUCAAUCACCUAAACAAACCUAAACAAACUCAAGAAGAAGACUUCCAUUAGACGGCCAAAGAACUACUUUGUUCUAUGGUUGAAAAAACUAUUUAUACUUAGGGUUUGGGAAAGAGAGAAAAUGGGCCGAAACAAGAAAAUCUGACGACGACGUACGUACAUCCUAACUAGGUACGUAUGUCCCUGAAUGAAAAAGUCUGUUGACCAACUCGACGUACGUACGCCCUAACUAGGUACGACGUACGUCCCUAAAAGAAGAAACUCUGCUGACCAACUUAUGGUACGUACGUCCUAACUAGGUACGUACGUCCUAACCUUAACAAGAGAUCUGUCCAACUCAAGGUACGUACGUCCUAACUAGGUACGUACGUCCUAUUUCAAACAGCAACCUGACAGUCAUGAUAAAAGAAGGGAUACUCGGGACGACGCUCAUACAUCAAGGUAUUCCUAACAAUGAGAUCAAGGCGAGAUAACCAGGGACACACUAAGUCACAAAAUAAUGUCAAACAACCGAAUGCCGGUUUCAAUCUCCCGCUUUGACAUUUAUUUUGUGACAAAAACCUAUGACUCUAAGAGCACUUAUAAUAUGUGCUUACAAACCCAAACCAACGAUAUUUAUAAUACAUGCCUACAAGAACACUCACACUCAAUACUAACCAAUGAGACGAUCAUCAUCCUGAAAAUCACGUCCUAAGACACCAACACAAGCUUCAAGAUAAUAUGCAAUGAAUCACCAUCAUAUGAUAAUCAACGGGAACAUCAAGCUUUUGACAAUCAGAGACGAGGCGGAAGCAAUGCAAUCCAUAAAUCAAUCAGAGACUCAACGGAAGCUUUUAGGAACUACUCCCCCAUACUUCAUGAAAUUCAAACAUGAAUACUUGUGCUCCCCCACAAGUGUAGCAUACCUGAAACAUGACCCAAGAUACACUAAGAAAGAAGAAGAAGGUGUUAGUAUUAGAGUCAUACAUCUCCCCAUUUUUGUCACAAAUGAAGUAAGUGGACAAAGGAAAGAAAAAAGAAAAAACAAACCAUAACAAAUAAGAGAAAAGAAGAAAAGAAAAAGAACAAUCAUGUUAACAACAAAAAGGAUAUUCAACAGAAGCCAUAAAAUAAACGCUUGUUAACACGAUGUCAAUACAAAGAAUUAUCCCCAAGCUCCACCUAAAUGCAAUGCAUAUGAGAAAGAUGCACCUAAAACAAACAAACCAAAUAAGAAUAUUUGAAACACACAAAGAACCAUGCAUACAAGGGUAGAAGAAAGUAUAUGCAAGCUCAAUUAAAACAAGAUACUUAGUAAAGAUGAAUAAACUUGGUUCAUUAAACAAAGUACGCACCAAUCAAAAAUUAAGAUAAGAAACCAAACAUCUACCAGAAAAGCAUCAUACAAACAUCCUUGGUGUGUGGGAAAGCUAAAGAAAACAUAAAGAGAGUCAUUUCACACUUCACUCACAAACCAUAAGAACACUCAAAACAACUAGUAUUCACCACUAUAAGGAUUUCACUUCACAAACGCCUAAACAGACACAGGAAAAUGCACUUACAACCAUUCAUUUUUUUUUUUUUUUUUUUUUGUGCAUAAAUUAACAUGUGAAAGAGAUUUUUACAUUCAUCUUUUGCAACAUGUGGUAGGGUGUAGCCUACAUCUUUUAAAAUUACUUCCCCUUGAAAAACAAACUUAAAGUAGUGCAACAUCAUGGUAACGUGCAACACAAGAACUAACAUCUCUUGAGUGCAUCCGUCAUUGCAUGACCCUCACGGCCCCAACUGUAUAUAUACCAAAUGAUUUCUCUCUCAAGAAGAUCAAAAGGCUGGGGAUUUUGUGAAUUGUUGACCACUACCACACCGCCUUCAUACUAAUAAUCAAGAUAACAUAAGAAGGCAUGCAUACGUAUAUUUCCAACUAAUGAUUAUUCUAGAAGUUCAUCAUGUUCAAAAGAUGGAAAAAGAUAUGUAAACAAACACUCAAAGUGCCACCUAGCCGUGCAAAGUGAAAUCAAGCAAGGAUAUAUGCAUGAGACACAACUAGAUAAACAUUGGUCUAGAAUCUAAACAUGAGAGCACAAGCGUAUGCUAAGUUUAAUAAAAUAGUUAUAUUCAUGAGCACUAAGCAUACACGUAUGAUUGAAAGCAAUAGACCAAUCUAACCAUAUAUACAACGUAUGUGUAUUCCAAACACCCAUAACAAGGUAAACCACAAAACAUUUUUUUUUUGUUUACAUAACUUUUUUUUUUUUUCUUUUUUUUUUUUGGUGAGUAGGAUGAUAUUGAACCCAAAACAAACAAAACAUGCAUAAACAGAAAGACAAAAACACCAAACAAAUAGCCUAUGUGAUUAGCAAAAUAUGCAAUUAAAAUAACACAAGGCUAGAAACAAACUACAUCAUCCCAAAUAUGGGACACCACCAGACUUUUGCAAGUAUAGAAAAACCUUCAACUUAUCUUUUCUUACCCAUACUUGAGAGAUAUUCUGCAAGUUGGAUCCAGGUAUGGAGGAUUGAUGAAUAUUAUCCCCGAUAGUAGACUUUCCAACCCUUAACCGCUCAUUCUCUAGACUACAUUUGGCAACAUCGAUGCUUCUAUCCCAUAUGUGAGGUGGUUUGGUAAUCUUUUGCACAAACUUCUUUUUGUUGUUAAAGCGUUGUGGUAUCUUAGGACCACUUCUGGGCCUAAAAGGAGUCCAAGAGGAAGGAUGAGCCUGCACAGGAAAAUAACCAUAUGAGUUUCAACAAUUAUUACCAAAAGAAAAAGAAUAAGGAACCAUGGAAUUUUUAUCCCAACAGAAAGCUGAAAUAUGACCUAACCGACCACAAGUAAAACACUUAAAAUGUCUAUGUUUAGGAUUUGUCUUGUUCUUGGUCAUCACAUUUGGCUUAGAUACAAAAGCCUUGGUAGGUGGAAGCGGAGUAGGCAUAUGAGAAUUUGGUAACAAAGGAGGCAAGGAUGGCCUUACAAAAGAAGUAGUACUAGGGACACAACUGGAGGAAGCUCCAACAUAGUCAUAUCCUAAACCUUUGACGAAAACUUUCCACUUUUAAUAAGGGUGUCUUGAUUAACUGAAGCUUUCUCAAACCCUUGCAAUCGCUUAGUAGAAGCAAAUAAAUCUUUUUUCACAGCUUCAUGCUCAAACAACAAAGUACGAUACUUAUCUUCUAUCUCACGAUUGGAUAUUUCUAAAGAAAUAAUUCUAGAUUGGAAAUCUAGCUUUUCUUGUGAAAACUCCUCAGAUAAGGCAUUCAUAUCACCUGCAAGUAUAAAUUUCUCUUCUACAAGAGACUCAACCAUAUCAUUCAAAAUUUGAUUAGUCUUAUGCAAGAAUUGACAUUGUUUAACAGGUGACAUAUGUAAUUCCCUUAACUCACCGGGACUUACCAAAACAGAAUCAUCGAAUUCAUGAUCGACAAUAUCGGUUACCUGACAAUCCACAUUCUCAUUCAAAGAAGCCCCAUAGGCAACACAAUGUGUAACAUGGUCUUUCGUUACAUCAUCAUCAUCCUCGCUUUCAUCUUCCUCCCAAGUGGUAGAUAACUUGAUUUUUUGUUGUUCUAUCCCUUCAGCAUCAAGUUUCGUGGGAAGCUUACACUUGUCAAAACCAUGGUUAGUCAAACCAUUAUAUUUCAUAGUCUUAAAAAUAUGUUUAAGAUAACGAUAAAUAAUACUCAGAUGUUGCUUAGUGUCAAGAGACACAUCAUGAUUAAUUUUUUCAUCUUGCACAUCCUCAAAAGAUCCUGCUUUAAAAGCAAAGGAUUUAUUUUGAGGUUGCUCAAGAUGAACCUCAAGUUCAUAAGUUCACAGUUUUCCUGCUAAGGUCUCUAUGGACAUGGUCUUUUAGUCAUUGCUCUCUUAAAUGACAUCUUUCCUCGAACGAAAUCUAGAUGGCAAAGACUGAAGAACUUUACGCACUAUUUGAGUAUCGGUGUACACUAAACCUAAAGAUGCACUAUUGUUGAUAACAUCCUGCAAACGAAUAAAGAAUUCAUCAAAAGAUUCAUUAUUGUCCAUUUUCAUAGUUUCAAAUUGACUAAUAAGAAGUUCAAGUUUACUCUCUUUGACAGUAGUGUCACCCUCAUGAGUUCUUACCAGCCUAUCCCAAGCCUCUUUGGAUGUUAUACAACCAUGAACUCUCCGAAAUUCACUAGCAUCCAAAGCCAUAAAUAUAGCAUUAAGCCCUCUUUGAUUGUUAGUAGAAGAAACUAUGUCUUUCGGACUCCAUGUGUUUCGUGGCUUUGCAAUUGUAACAGCCUCAUCUGUACUACCUGUAAUAACUGUCGGUGGUGACCAACCAUCUUCCACAGUGAUCCACACAUCCUCGCUGAUAGCCUGCAAAUACGCAGCCAUACGAACUUUCCAAUAGGGAAAAUUAGUUCCAUUAAAUUUAGGAGGACAAAUUAGUGUUCCAAAUUUAUCAGAAUCCAUUAAAAUUGCACUAAGGAUCUACGCGUGAGCCUUUACGCUCUUUAACAAGCGCCCUGCGACUGAUACCAAUUGAAAACCCAAUAUGUGCAAUAUGAUACUAAAACAAACAAGAAUAAAACAAUAAAGAAGUAAAGAACACACGAUAUUUUUAACGUGGUAAAACCCAAUAUGGGAAACGUCCACGGUUGUUCUCGCGACAACAAAUAAAUCCACUAGAUGAAAAGAGAUGUACAAACCUAUCAACUACCUGCAAUCACUGCGAGUUGAAACUACUGGUUAUCUCGAACACCUUGACUUCAUCAGAGUACCUUGAUGUACGCACAAGACACUCGACUUCUUGAUGAACACACAAGAAGACUCGAAGCCGAUCUGUGAAGCAAGCUUACACCAGAGUUCCUUGAUGAACACACAAGGAUACUCGACUUCUUAAUGAACACACAAGAAGACUCGAAGCUAAUCUCAAUAUUCAAUAAGUUAAAAGAAGAUGAAUGGGGAAGAAGAGAAUGAGUUCAAUCACCUAAACAAACCUAAACAAACUCAAGAAGAAGACUUCCAUUAGACGGCCAAAGAACUACUUUGUUCUAUGGUUGAAAAACCUAUUUAUACUUAGGGUUUGGGAAAGAGAGAAAAAGGGCCGAAACAAGGAAAUCUGACGAUGACGUACGUACAUCCUAACUAGAUACGUAUGUCCCUGAAUGAAAAAGUCUACUGACCAACUCGACGUACGUACGCCCUAACUAGGUACGACGUACGUCCCUAAAAGAAGAAACUCUGCUGACCAACUUAUGGUACGUACGUCCUAACCUUAACAAGAGAUCUGUCCAACUCAAGGUACGUACGUCCUAACUAGGUACGUAUGUCCUGUACCAAACAACAACCUGACAGUCAUGAUAAAAGAAGGGAUACUCGGGACGACGCUCAUACAUCAAGGUAUUCCUAAUAAUGAGAUCAAGGUGAGAUAACCACAGACACACUAAGUCACAAAAUAAUGUCAAACAACCGAAUGCCAGUUUCAUAUCCUUCUGAUGUCACAGGUAAAAUAGGCACAUGCAAGUCAUCUCUAAUGGAGAAGAAAGUAUGUGUGUACUCCAAGCUAGGAAAUUUGAAGUAAAGAGAAUAGUUUGGAGGCAUGAGGAAAGGAACUUGAUAACGGCUCAGCCAAACAGGACUUUGCCAUGAAGUGCAGACAACACAAAACCGAACGUAAUAUAUCUUUGGGAUCAACAAGUUUCUCACAUAUAAUUUGCAGAACAUCUGUAGGGAGAUCCGACCAACACCAACUUGAACGUAUUCUUUUUCUUUUUCUUGUGUGAAGUACUACCCUAUAAGCUUUUAUCAAAUUAGGGAAAUAGAAUUUCCAUUUACAUUUUUCAGAGUUUUGAUUAGAAUAAGUUUUUGAUUGUGGACAGCUUCAAGCUUGCUAGAUGCCUAAAAAAGGAAAAAAUUUAAAACAGGGAAAAAAAAAAGAGAAAAAAAGAAAAAAAAAAGCUUGCUAGAUGAAGAAUCCUUGGUCAUGUUCAGUGUUGGUAGCUGAACCAAAAUGGGAUUAGAUAGUUGUUCAUUGAUAUUUUCAGAGAAAAGUGGUUGAAGACUUGCGUCUGCUUCUAAAUUUACCACUCCCAUAUUAAGCUUGCAAGAUGAAGAAUCUGUGGUUUUGUUCAGAGUUGGCUGAACCCAAAUGGGAUAAAUUAACUGUUCAUUGAUGUUUUCAGAGAAAAGUGGUUUGAGACUUGCAUCUUCUAAGUUGAACACUCCUGCAUCAUGCUUGCCAUAUGCGAAGUAGAUGUGAUUCGAUUUGCAUUGGUAAAAAUCUGAUGACAGUACAGAUAAGGAAGUACCAUCGCCUAAGAACAAGUUACAACUUCUUAAGGUGUACAACUCAAUCCACUUUGAUUCUUCAUUAUUCGUUAGUAAUUUAAAGAUUCGAAAUCCAACUGUGGCAUGAGAAGCAACUCCCCUUGCAACGCAUAACAGGUCUCCUGAAGAUUCCACAAGCUGAUAAUGGGAUGAGGACCAAUUUUUAGUAUUGCCCCUAUCCGGUAAUGAGGUCACUAUUGUUAACUUGGGUAUCCUUGAAUUAAUGUCACAAGACAUCAAUUCAUAGUAACCAACUACAUAAAACUUGUCUUUAUAGAACAUAAUGUCGUCGAUAAAAUCAUUGCAAUUAAUACUGGUCCAAGAUUUAUCACCUGUCUUGAGGAAGGCCAAUGUAGGUUUACAAUCCAAGUAGUAAACUAUCAUGACUACAAAAGCUAAUGUCCGUCUUGGGUUAUCGGAUAUAGUAGCUUUCCAAAUAAAAUUUCCCCUUGGAGAGGGGAGUUUGAUCACAUUGUCAACUGAUAAAAAGGGAUUCCAGAGUUGAAUACUACAAACACCGACCCUGCUGUGGUUACGGUCUAUAAAUAACCAUCCAUGGCUCGAACCAUAGCAGCUAAUGUAUCGUUCUGAUGUCACAGGCGAAAUAGCUACGUGCAAGUCUUCGUCUCUAAUGGAGAGCAAAGUAUGUGUGUAUGGUUCAGGGUAGUUGUACUUGUUUGGAAGCAUUAACUAACAAAGGUGUCUGAUAACGACUUAACCAAGCAACACUUCGCCAUGUUGUGCAGACAGCACCAAACUGGCCGGAAUCUUUGGCGUCAACAAGUUUCUCACAUAUAAUUCGCAGAACAUCUUUAUGAAGAUCCGACCAAUUACUACUCCCUUGGGAAGUCAUCGUCAUGGCCAGGUUUUUGGGUUGCUUAGGCGUGUACGUGUGGAUUUUACUAAAAAGCAAGCUAAGUAAGGCGGCUUAAAAGAUUUCAAUUAGAAGUUGAUUUCAAUUAGAAAUCAAAUUUGGUAAUACACAACACGUGUUUUCUAAAAGGAGUUGAAUUAGUUUGUAAUAUGGAAAUUGAAUCCAUUGGUAGCCGGGUAACACAUAGAGAACAUGGGAAAAUUGAAUUAAGAAUUGAAAGUUGAUUAAUGUUCACAUGUUCACUAACCUUCUCUGGCUCCUCAUCAAAUUGUUUUUUUUUCUUUUAAUGACAUGUUUCGCUCUUAACCGAAAAUAUAGGGUUCAACCCCCCAUAGGAGAUGCAAGUUUUGUAGCUUCAGCCUUGGCUUCCUCAAUUCCAGUGUCUCUAUACUUCUGCAAAAAAGAAAUCAGCCCUUUCAGCUGAACAAUAGCAACAUCAAUAUCCAUAUCUUCUGAUUGCAAGCUUUUGCUAACAGUGUUGAUAGCAAAUAAAAAAAUCAUGCCAAAUAAUCAUACCAAACAAGAACUCAAAAUUCUCAAAAUCAUUUACCGCAAGAGAUUCUGCUUCACUCCGUGUUUUGGGAUCGUCACUAUUUUCCGCCAAGUGAAUCAAAGCCUUUUUUUAUUUGUGGAGCUUAAAAUCUUACUGCUUUGACACUUUCAAUAUGACUUUCCCAUCGAGUUUGUGACAAUGGUUUUAAUGUGAGACUUUUCACAAACUCUUCCAAUACACUUCAUCGCUUUGUCGAAGAGGCAAACAAACAAUAAAUGAGUGGUGCAAAAAAGACUACCACUUGAUAAAAAUCUAUCAAUAAUGAUAAUAGACUCACUUUUAAAUCUAUUAGUCCCUUGGUGUAGUCGUAAUUUUGUCACUCACCAUACCAAAUAUUAAACUCAUCACCAGCUGACUUGACACGUUAGGAUUCUCAUCAUCUUUACAAGCAUUGCCACAAGUAUGUUUUUCCCCUAUCUCCUUCAACCACAUACGUCCACCAUUUAUACUAAAGGACUUUGCAUAGAUCAUCCACUUGCAUUUAUCUUUUUCAUCAACACAUUUAUCUUCUUCCAUAGUCUGUUUACAAACAACUUUCACUCUAGUUGACGAAUUCUUCAAAACCCCAUAUUUGAGCCCAAUUUCAAUAGAAAACUGUCGAAGUUUAUUUCGGACCUCAACAGCUCCUCCUUCAAAUACCUGGCCAACACCAGUAAAGUAAAGACAAACUCACAAUCCCUAGCCUUUAAAGCUAGCAAAAAAAUUUCAUCAUCAUAAUCAAUGCAAGAAGAACUACUACUUGGUCCUACAUCACAAUGAACAAUGUCAAUAGAUAUCUUCUUCAAACAAACUAAAAAUUCAACAAAUCUUUGUCCAUUCUUAUUGCAAAACCACACCAAAGAUUGAAGCUCAGCAUCACCAAAAAUUUCAUGAUGUUUACCAUAACGAUUGUAGGUGAGAACAAACACUAAAAGAGACAAAUCCUUAAAUUUUUAGCAAAUAACAUCAUUUAAACUAGCCAAUGUACUAUCACACGUGAGCUCAUAGGAGAAAAAGAAUUUGUUAUACUUGAUUACCCCUAGAACACCACCAUUAGCAACCUCAGUUGAAACAACACCAUCACAUAAUUGCACAUCUGUAUAAAAAAACACCAUGUACAGUUGAUCAAUACAUCAAUCAACACAUUAAUAAAUAAUAUAACAUUUAUUUUUUAUUAGUACAUUAAUCAACACAUUAACAUAGUACUCAGAUAGUUGAUUUAACCUAUUAAUCAACCCAAAUACUCAAAGCAGCAAAGUAUUUUGAUCGCGUCCUUCGGACAACCCUUCAGGGUAUCGUAGUUUCUGAUGGUCCGGGUUUUGGUGACCUUCAGUGGUGCAUAACAACCAUGCCGUUACGCCUUGGUGGAUUGUGCAUUUAUUCUGCCACAGAUGUCAGUAAGUUUGCCUUCGUAGCCUCUCGAUGCCAAACUCAAGAGCUCCAGGAUCACAUGCUCCGAGGGUGUGGUACUGCACACAUGGAUAGUGCUUUUGAUAGUGCAGUUGCUGAGCUACAACUUUUUCCCCCUGAUUUCGACCUUAGUAUUCUAGCCUCAAGGGCUACCGCCCCUCUAAACCCCAACACACACUGGCGGAAGCUUACUACAGGAAGAUUGCAACUGGUAUUGACAGGGAUUUUGAUUUGUAUGCUCGUCAAAGGGCUGUUAUGGAAUGCUUACAGACCAAACAUGCCAAGGACUUCCUUAUUGCUAUUCCUAUAGAAGGGCUAGGAUAACGCAUGAUAGCAGUGGAGUAUCGUGCCAUUUUCCGGUAUCGUCUAACGAUCUCGUUAUUUACAGAUGAGGACUUAUGUCCUGUAUGUAAGAAGAGUCGACUGGACGCUUUUGGGGACCAUGCUGUACAUUGUAAGUAUUACCCCAGUUAUAAAUACAGACAUGAUCAUGUGCGUGAUAUACGGUAUGAUGUGGUAUGGCGGCAAGAAUACAGGUAAAGAAAGAGGCUCCGGUUAAUUUUCUUAUAGACCCGUCAGAAGGCAGAUCAACACUACGUCCAGCUGAUGUUUUGAUAUAUAGUUGGUUAGAAGGGAAAGAUGCAUGUGUUGACAUCACAGGAGCAUCUCCAAUGGUGGGGUUUGGCAUUGAAAAUUUUGAAGUGGGUCAAGCAGCCAUUAAUGUAGCUGCAGCUAAGGUACAGAAACACGAUGGAACAUGUGCAACGAAGCAGCAUUGUUUCAUUCUUUUUGUCUUUGACACUAUUGGGUUUCUAGCACCAGAAGCAGUUGAACUUCUCAAGAGGGUACAGAAGGUGAUGAAUAGCAAUGUGAUACAGCGGGUUCUAAUGAAUAUGUAUUUCGUAGGAUUGGUUUUGCUAUUCAAAAAGGGCUUGCAGCGCAGUUUGUAGCGCGCUUCUCCUCUAGCUCCUCUAGCUUUGUGUAAUUCUUCAAUAAAAAUUUGUUCUUCGAUUUCAAAAAAAAAAAAAAAAAAAAAAAAAAAAAAUUGCCUUCAACCUUGUUGAUCGGUCUGCUAUGCUACGGGAGGUACGCAGUCAUUGUCCAUCUAUUGCUCUAUGGGUCGAAUACCUCUAUUGCCAACCUGCUCGAUUGUAUCUAGGGUCUACUCAUAUCUGGUCAGCAGCUGGGAUACAACAGGGGGACCCUUUGGGGCCGCUUCUCUUUGCUUUGGUCUUGCACCCAUUGAUACACCGCAUUCAGUCAGAAUGCCACUUGGAGUUGCAGGCAUGGUACUUAGAUGAUGGUACUCUGAUUGGUAGUACAGAACAUGUGGCUAGAGCUAUUCGUAUCAUUCAGAAAAGAGGACCAACUCUUGGGCUCGUGCUUAAUGUGUCUAAGACAGAGUUGUUCUGGCCUUCUGUUGAUCCUGUAUGUUUCUAUCCAGAUAUCUUUUCGGUUGGUAUAUCAUGUCCUCGGUGAGGGGUUAAGUUGUUUGGAGGGGCUGUAAGUAUUGAUGCAUCAUUUAUUGUGGGUAAUGUUCGUCAACGAGUGGAUAAGACACUUCAGCUUAUGGAUUUAUUACCACAGUUAAAGAAUCCGCAAUGUGAGCUGACACUUUUAUGUUCUUGUAUGGGAAUAUCUAAACUCACCUUUGCUCUCCGUACUUGCCCCCCUGAUUAUGUUCAGGAAAUAGCCGAAUGGUUUGACCACAAGCUUCGUGCAACCCUUCAGAAUAUUGUGGUUUUUUAUAGACCUGGUUUUGGUGAUCUAUAGUGGCGUAUCGCAACCCUCCCAUUGCGUAUGGGUGGACUUGGUAUUUAUUGUACUAGUGAUGUUAUGAAGUUUGCUUUCGUAGCUUCACGUACGCAAACCAAGGAUCUCCAAGACCACCUUCUUCGAGGUUGUGCGGCUGCACCUAUGGGUAAUGUUUUCGAUACUGCCAUUAAUUGCUAAUUUACAUCUUUCUAUACCUGAUUUUGAUCUCAGUAAUCUUGCUCCAACUGCUACUGUCCCCUUCAGACCCCAACAUGUCUUGGGGGAAGCAUACUACAAGAAGAUUAGUUCUGGUCUUGAGAGGGAAUUUGAGUUGUCAGCUAGACAAAAGGCCGUGAUUGGAUGUGUGCAGUCAGAACAUGCCAAAGAUUUUCUCCUUGUUAUCCCGAUGGAAGGACUUGGACAACGCAUGACGCCUGUAGAAUAUCGUGCCAUUCUUCGUUAUCGAUUGAUGAUCCCUCUUUAUUCAGAUGGUGAACUUUAUCCAGUGUGCAAGAAGAGCAGACUUGAUGCUUUUAGGGACCAUGCGGCCCAUUGUAAGCAUUACCCCGACUUCAAGUACAGGCAUGACCACGUUAGAGAUAUCUUGUGUGAUGUGUUCUGGCGGGCUGGAGUACAGGUUAAGAAGGAGGCUCCAGUUAACUUUCAUACUGAUCCUAAGGAAGGAAGAUCGACAUUACGUCCUGCUGAUAUUUUGGUCUACAACUGGUCUGAAGGUAAACAGGCGUGUGUUGAUGUUAUAAGGGCGUCUCCGAUGGUUGGGCUGGGUGCUGGGAUUUUUGAGGUGGGGCUAGCAGCUACCAAUGCAACAGCAACAACAAAAGUGGAGAAACAUGACGGAGCUUGUAGGGCUAACCAACAUAGUUUCAUCCCCUUUGUAUUCGACACAUUUGGAUUGCUAGGCUCAGAAGCAGUUGAGCUCCUCAGGAGAGUGCAGAAGGUAAUGGAUAGAAACGUGAUGACUGCGGGUUCAAACGAAUAUGUAUUUAGGAGAAUCGGGUUUGCUAUCCAGAAAAGACUUGCCGCGCAGUUUGUCCUAUACUUUUGUGUAAUUCGUUUAGCUUAUCAAUAAAAUUUGUUUCAAAAAAAAAAAAAAAAAAAACCUAUAAAAACUAUUGAAUGACGGCUCGUUCAACAUCAAAAAAUCAAACACAAAAACAAGAAUAAACAACAAAAAAUACAAAUUGCCAAAAUUAUUAAACAAAACAGGAAUUAAUAACUCAACAAACUAACAUGUAUAAUCGUUAAUCAUCAUCAUCUCCAAAUCGAGUUGAGAAAUCAAUCAGCCAAAUCAGUUGAUAAUGAAAAUUGAUUUCAAAUCGAAUUGCAAAAUCAAAACACAAAUUCAAACUUCACGAUCUUCCAUUAAAAGCUCCAAUUACAAAACUGCAAAUACAAAUGAAUCGGUGUGGAAAACUGAGCUCUCGCAAUAACUUGGACUGAGAAGAUCUUAUCAAAUUGAAUUGUUAAAUCAAAACCCUAAAAUGAAAGAAUAACGAAAUCAAACAAAAUCUGAACUCUCACGAAAACCAAACAAAAUUGAACUCUCGCGAUAGAUUGAGAAGAUCUUGUGAAAUUGAAUUCAAAAAUCAAAAUCACAACAUGAAAUCUUCCUCCAGAAUUUUCUCUUCUCCAAACUCUCUGCAAAUGAAACAAAACCGCAAUACAAAUUCUCAAAACACGAUCUAUAUAUAUCGUUGGUAGGAGGGUAGUUCAGGUAUUAUAAAAAAAUAAUGCAAUGAUACGCGACUUUGUCCUGGAAACAAUAUUUUAUUCCGUAUAAUUGGACUUCUCUUAAACCUAAACACCAACCCGUGUGAUACAAUAUUGUAAUGAUAGGAAUGAUACGCGACUUUGUCCUGGAAACAAUAUUUCAUUCCGUAUGAUACAUCUAGUUUUGUGUCUCUUGAGUUAGAAGUUGCAUGUGUUGAUCAAGUAGAAGAUUUGAUUGAAAAAUCUGCAAGGGGGAUAAAUAAGAAGUUCUAUUUGUUGCCCAAACAAGGAAAUCUGGUUGUUGUCCAUGACAAUGGUAAAGAGGAUGAACGUUCUAGGAAUUUCGCUCAUCACUCCCAUGAAUCGAUGAAUUCCAUUGAUUCCGACCGACAAAUUGAUGAUUUUUAUCAUCCCCACAAAUUUCGUCCCAUAAAAGUAAUUGGUAAUUUGUUGGGUAGUUAUGUUGAUCUUUAUCUAUUCCAAGAUGAGAAUGAAUUUUCUCCAUGGAGGGACAAACACCUUCAAUUCUUAUUUCUUGACAUGCGGCUAUAUUGUUCCAAUCAAUUGGGUUGUCCUAAUGAUGCACCUAUGACAUUAAUUUUCAUCAUUCUUUCUGCGAGCAACUAUCUGGGGAAGAUUCAUGGCCGGAUUUUCUGCACCAACGUAAGGUUGAGGUUGAUGUACAAGAGUUGUUUUAAAACUCGUUUUCAAGUUGGGGGGAUUUGAUGCAUAUGCACAUGCCUCAUAGUUCCUGCAGAAUCCUAUAUGGAUUAGAACAUCCCUAGUAGUAGUUUCUAUUUACUUAGUUUUCUAGUGUAGUUAGGAUUACGUUUAGGUUAUUAUAAAUAGGGGAUUGCAAACCCUAUUAAGUAGGUUAGAUUGAAGAUUUGUUUAUGUCCUGAGACAUUAAAUUCGUUUUUGUGAAGAACCCUAUUUUUUGGGUGUUCAAACCAUUUAUUUAAUUGGUGUUCUUAUUAUUGUUUGCUUCCGCCGAUAAUAUUACAUCACCAUUCCUUGAAAAACUACAACGAAAAAAACAUUUUAUACAAAAAGUUGUUUGAUAAUAAGAAAUGUGAGGACAUAAGGCAUUCAUUAAUUGUUCCCACCAAACAACAGUUUAUAGUUUUAUACUCACCACAUUAAUAGUUUAAUGUGUUCUUUGCUACCACGAGCAGAGGCGGCAGUUCGCAGAGGCGGCAGUUCGCAGAGCACAUGCGACAGUUCACAGAGCAGCUGUCUUUGCUCUCAAAAAGUCUGAAUUUCCGAUAUCACCCAUUCUGANNNNNNNNNNNNNNNNNNNNNNNNNNNNNNNNNNNNNNNNNNNNNNNNNNNNNNNNNNNNNNNNNNNNNNNNNNNNNNNNNNNNNNNNNNNNNNNNNNNNUUGAUAUUGCUGACCAAAUGUUUGGUUCCCCAUGUAGCUUAGUUCUUCCUUUGAUACAUUCAACUGCCUCCUUUGAGUCCGAUCCCACUUGGAUUUUCUUCCAACCCAUGGAAGUACAUAGUUUGAUGCCCAUCUGUAUGGCUUGAAGUUCAGUAUACCCAGCCGUCUUUCCCUUUGAGCUGCCUCCAUAUAAGUCAUCAGAACUUCGCCUCUAUAAUCCCUUAGAAUUCCAGCAUAACUGCUAGCUUCCUCCCUCAUGCUUCCAUCAGAGUCGAUAAGCACAUACCCCUGUUCAGGGGGUUCCCAAGCAACGUAUCUGAUUUGUCUUGUAACCAGUUCCACCUGUGCAUUAAUUUUUCCCAUAGCAGCUCUAUUGCCAAUAGUAUCUGCAGUCUUCAGUUUCAGACCCUCAAAUCGCAUCUUGACUUCCUCUUUAAUAACCUGGAUGACCAUAGCUUCAGUACUAAACUUCUGUGAGUACAGUCUGUUAUUCCUUUCUCUCCAUAACUCAUAGACAGUGGCACAAAAAGUUAUUCUAGCUAUGUCUUCACACAAAGAGCCCCCUUUCAGUGUUGAAGUAGCCCAAGAGCAUUCAGCAACUGCAUCCAAAGGAUUUCUAUUGUGCUCACACCAAGACAUAACCUCUUUCCACACCAGCUUAGAGAAUUUUCAUUCAAACCAUAAGUGCCAGUGGUUUUCCUGGGCUUUAUAGUGACUUGAGUUCUGCCCAACUACUCCAGAGUUCAUCACUUGUGAGUAAUGGUCCCUGUUACAGAUAGGAGGAAGACUUGAGCUAGUCCACUGAACCUUGUAAUAGUUUAUAAGUCCAUAGCUAGUUCCUGUAGCAAGGAGGGAAUCUCUAGCCAAGUUGUCUGCGCAGAGAGCACAAAUAGAUUUCUGAGUGAUACCCCAUUUAACAAGCUUGUCUUGAGUAGCCAGUCUUUCUCUAGCAGCUAGCCAAGUGAUGAAUGAAUGUGUUGGAAUCAUGACUUUAGUCCAUAUUACCUUUGCCCACUUCACCUUGGUGAAUCUUUUCGUAAAUGCUACAUAGGCUGUUUUGAUAGUGAACUUACCAUUUGGGCUUGGUGUACAUACCACUGACACUUUGGUUACCUCUCUAAUAUUGGUCAGAUAUUUGGUAGAGUUUGGGACGAGCUCAUGUAAAAUUUCACUGUCUGUCCAUGGAGAGUACCAAAAGUUUGUGUUCUCACCAUUAGCUAUCUCAUGCCUAUUAAAAGGUUUACAUCUUUCUCUCAAGGUGAGAAUUCCCCUCAACUCCAUGAACAAUCAGCACGCAUUUCCAUAGUCCAAUCUAUAGUUAGUAUUGGAAUUAAAACAACUCAGAAAUCUGCAAGAGAAGAAGAUUGUUCUCUUGCUGCACACAGAACAAAGAAACUAUAGACAAGACAAAACACUUAAGAACUUAAACUCUUACUUACUUACUUUGUGCAUUGCACAUACAUCUUUAUAACUACUAAUACACUUCAAACUAGGCAAAUACAUUUACUCUAACUUAUAACAAUCAACUACCACCAAGCAUUACUAAUUAGUGCUAAUUGUGGACUCUAGAACCAUCUCCUAAGUACAAGUAAAGUCUAACUUAUGUUUCCAACAGUUAGCAAAUUCAAAAACUUGAAUUUGAAGCUUAAACUAGGCAUGUGUCCUUGUUUUGAGAUGUUUAAUCAUACAAAGAUGUUGUCCCUACGACACUACUCGCAGUUAUAUAUUGCCCAUUCAAAAGCGUAUUUAGUGUUGAUUCUUCUCGGGGUUGCAUGAUUUGGUUGCAGAUGUAUUGAACUUUCUAAAGGCAGAUCAUUAAAAGUAAUAUAAGUAGAGUCAACCAGAAGACAUGUUUGAACAAUGUCUGUUGUAGUCAGCUCAUUCAGUAUCUUUUCUCAUUGCUCUCUCCAACAACUUCAGGACAUAGUUUUUCUGAUUUACGCUAAAUCAACAACCCUUUUAGUUUUGACAACCAACAACCAAAAGAUGAAAAUUAUGAUGAACUACUAAGCUGAUAGUAGAUAGAUCACUUUCAAUAAGAUUUUUAUCGCUAAAUAAUCAAUCAUCUUUUUCAAAGAAUGUAAUACUAAUGGUUGGAAUGCCAGAAUUUGCAGAACUCAACGAGUCUGAGGACGGUGGAGACUCUUGGCUUCAUGGAGAUACAGAGGACGAGCCAUAAGCCAAUAGAACCAGUUAAUGGUGAUGUCAAGACUCGAACCCAUCAAACUCAUCCUUAGCUCCAAUCCUCUACCCGAUGUGAUAUCGAGAAAAAAGAAGGAAGAAAAUGCAUUAAUAAACUUAUUAUCAAAAGAAAACAUUCAGACCUACUAAAGCACAUAACAAUAAAACUCAAUCUAAAUCUAUAAAUCCUUACAAAGAAAAUGGCAAACAGAGAUGAUGACAGAUGAGAAGUUUAUUACUUCAUUAAGCCUUUCUGACCAAACAGUCCAGAUUGAACACUAUUUGAACACAAUCUGAAUGAUUGAUUCCAAAUCUGAACAUCAAUCAUACUUUGAUUCACUUCAAGAAUGCGCACCACAUUGAACACUAUUUUCUCCACAUAUACCACUGGACUCUGUCCCCAUAGUCAUCCUUUCCAUUUUGUACACAAACUCCAGCUCCUAUAGGCUAUAACAUUAUCAUAAUGCUGCUUUAUGUGAUCGUCAUCCUGGAGACCAUCUUCUCAAAAUGAAACCUUCCAUGGCUCCUUAGCACAGCCUUUUGUUUUCGUUGACACCAACAUCCCUUCAAAAAUGAAUUAUCGAGUUAGCAACUUGAAAUUGAAAGAUUAUUUAUCAACGUGAAGUAAAAUGGAUCAACCAAACAAAAAAAGAGUUUUACAAGUCGCAUGUACUUUUCAACAAAACUUUGUGCGUAAAUAUUUGUAAUUAUUUUGAGCAUGUAAAUUAGAGAGUCCCAUCACCUUUGUUUUCUCUUUCCCUUAAUAAUUUCCAACACCAACCAUUCACACAUAUGUUGAAAACAUAUUUGGAAUUCAUGCCAGAAAACAGGUAACACAAAGAAUUUUCACAAGAACUACAAAUCUUACAGUUAUGUCAAGGUAUAUCUGUUGAUAUUCUGAAGGUUAAUUAGGUUACAGUUAUGUUUUCAGUAACCAUGCAUCAUUGGCUUUGUCUCUCUUAUAAAUUCUAAAAUAAUAAAAAAUAUUGACAAGCAACCCUAUCCUAGAUUUGCAACGGUGCUACCAAGUAACAACUACCCAACUAUCGAAAUAAUGAUUUAAUGGUUGAGCAAGUUCAACGGGAUGAAGAACACGAUGAUGGGGAAGUGGAACAAAAACGAGAAUAGAAGAAAAAAAAAGACGAAGAGAAAGGGGAGAGAAGAGCAAUUAGAAAAAAAAAAUAGAGAGGAAAUAUGGAAGGUGAUUAUGAUGGUAGAGAGGAAAAUAUGAAAGGUGACAAUGUUGGUAGAGAGGAAAAUAUGGAAGAGGAGAACGAAAGUGGCGUUGAAGAAAAUAUGGAUGAGGAGAGCGAAAGUGGUGAAGAAAAUAUAGAAGAUGAUAAUAGUUUUCCUCUUCUUGGUGGUCCCAUGGUGAAUGAUGUUUUGGUUGAUUAUAAAGAACAUUUUGCGUAUAGGGUGUGGCAAGGAGAGGUAUACAUGAUAAUAUUGAUUUAAUUAUUUUGUACAGAGGCCAAUAUUUGUAAAAUUUUAUUUUAGUGGUACCAGACAUCACUAACAUAUUAAUUCUAUAUCUUGACUUUUAUUCAAGAACUCGGUGUGCAGAGGCUUGUUUGCCACCUUACUCAGUUGAAAAAAUGGCCCUUAGAGAAAGAGGAUUCAAAGUUUAUAAACAAACUAAAGGAAACUGGAUUGUAUUGGGUAGAUAUUUUCCCUUAUAAACACAUGAAUCCGACGUUGGUGUGUGCAUUUGUCGAGCGUUAGUAUCCAGAAACAAACACUUUCCACCUUCCUUUUGGAGAGAUGGCAAUCACACUUGAUGAUGUGGAAGAACUACUUGGAAUUCCUAUUGUUGGUACCCCAAUAGUUAGUGAGCAAAACAAACUUGAUUUGAAUAGGUAAUGUACUUGACAAGAUCUACUGUGUUAUUAAGUAUAUUUUAUUUACCAUUAUUUGAUAUACAUAUAUAUAUAUCUUAGCAGGGCUAUAAAAUUGCUCACGAGAGGGCUUGGUGUCAACGAUAAGGAAGCUAAAUUAGAAUUGAGUAAGCACAGUCAAACAAAUGUAAGCACUACCUAGCUGUGUAGCAUCUUUCAUUAAAAAAUGAAAACCCUAACAAGUCACAGACACGUUGAUCAUGCAGUUAGAGCGUAUUUAAUGUUUCUCUUUCCAUGUGUCAUGUUCCCGACAAAACUGGUACUGAUGUAAAUGUUUGUUACAUUAUACCUCUUAUGACGUUUUCUAAGAUCAAUGAUUUUGCUUGGGGUGCGGCUGUUUUGGCCCAUAUUUAUAGAUCUCUUUGGAAAAGCUUCGCGAGCAGAGUGUAAACAAUUUUCUGUAUUUAUAACUUUAAUUCAGGUAAUACUUUUCAGUUGGUAAUGUUUACUAAAAUAAAUUAUAUCUACAAGUCUAACUCUCCUAAAUGUGUAUGCAUGGAUUUACGACCAUUUCUCCAACUUUAGUGUUAUUCCUAAUCUGGAUUACGCGGAUACAAUACCACACAUGAUGAGGUGGUCUCCUUUUCAAAUCAGCUAUACUGACAAUAUGCAAGCCUUGAGGUGGCAUAGAGAGACGAUUGAUCGUAUGACAACUAUGGAGGUAAGUGUUUACAAUUUUUUAUUUUUUAUUUUAUUUUUUUUAUUUUUUUGGCAAAUUUUAUUGAUAAGCUCAACGAAUUUCACAAAAGUAGAGGACAAACACGCUACAAAUUGCGCGGCAAGUACUUUCUGGAUAGCAAACCCGAUUCUCCUAAAUACAUAUUCGUUCGAACCCGCAGUCAUCACGUUGCUAUCCAUUACUUUCUGCACUCUCUUGAGGAGCUCAAUUACUUCUGAACCUAGCAAUCCAAAUGUGUCAAAUGCAAAGGAGAUGAAACUAUGUUGAUUAGCCCUACAAGCUCCGCCAUGUUUCUCCACUUUUGCUGCUGCUGCAUUGCUAGCUGCUAGCCCCACCUCAAAAAUCCCAGCACCCAGCCCAACCAUCGGAGACACCCUUGUAACAUAAACACACGCAUAUUUACCUUCAGACCAGUUGUAGACCAGAAUAUCAGCAGGACGUAAUAUCGAUCUUCCUUCCUUAGGAUCAGUAAGAAAGUUAACAGGAGCCUCUUUCUUAACCUGUACUCCAGCCCACCAGAACACAUCACACAAGAUAUCUCUAACGUGGUCAUGCCUGUGUGGUGAAAAACUUUGAUCCACAAACUCGAGAUGUGUAUAUAUUAAUCGAACAGUUACAAUGAAAGCCUUGUAGAGACAGAGAUAGGAUGGGGGGUAUACAGUGAGACUGGACUGAUCGGGAUCAGGCUGCCUACGUAUCCAAGAUGGUGAACUUGGAAUCAAUUUUAUGGUUCCACUAAGCUCUAAUGGAGUUGCUCAGUGAAAGACUCGUAGUUCAGGAGGUCUAGAACUCCUGUAUUUGUAGUAGGCCGGAGGAAGCUGGCUCAACCACCCCUCCGGUUUUGACUCCACGAACUCAGGUAGUUCAACUGUGAAGAUGUUUUCCAUGGAGAUAGCUUGCAUGCUGCCGAGCGGUUAUCCCCUUGGUUUGAAUCCCCUUCGACCAGGAUGACUGCCAUGUGGCAUCCUCUGAUAGGUCCUAGUUCACAUUGGUUUUUUUUAUCUUCUCCAGCGGGCUAGAACCAUGGGUUCUGUUGGCCUAGAAUCUCGCUGGACUUAUCCAGUUGGUUGGGACUUGGAUUGACCAAGCCUGAAAGCAAAUACUUGGGCUUCACUCCUCUGACCGGAGGCCCAAUCUCCACUACAUACUCCCUGGCUAGGUCCUCUGGACUUCUGUGCUAAGCCUUUGGAUGAGCCCCGGUCGCUGUUGGACCUUACUGGGCCAGACCUUGCCUACUUGACUGAGGUGGGCCUGGUCGAUGUAUAGGAUCCCACGGUUCAACUUCUUAUACAGUAAUCGGGGCUCCACCCAUUGGUCGUGGACUAUCCGGUGAGUCAAGGUCCACAGAACGUAUGUGGAUCCCUUGCAACCGGGUUGGGCCCUACCCGAUAGCCCAGGCUUGGCUGGCUAAUGUUCAGGUGCUCCCGGUUUAGCUUCUUAUACAGCCAUCGGUGACACCUGUCGGGUUUUUUAGCUAGGGUACACACAUCGCCCCCUCUUUGUUAAGUAAAAAAUCUGCUUGGGAAAGAUCUUCGCUAUAUCUUCCCCAGCUGUUGAUAUUCGGAGGAUUCCUUCCUUGACACGGUUCUUGAUGACGAUUCCGUAUCCCUUGGAUCAAGGAUUAGGGUUUUCUUCCUCCUCUAUAAAUAGGGAGCCGGAGGUGUAGAAGGAUGUCCACUUCUCUGUCAGUCACUAUUACUGAAGGAGUUAAAUCACCUAAUAAAAGUCGAAACCUUUUUAACGCCCAAGUGAAGUCAGCUUCUUUCUCUGGACACAUCAAAUCUUGACAAGCAGUGAAUGUCUUAUAGGUCGAAGUGACACCAACAAUUUGGAGAAAUGACCAACGAUACUUAUUGGUUUUGUAUGUCGCAUCCAUCAUGAAUACUUUAGGGAAACAUUUACACAAAUCAACUGAACCCGGAUGUGCCCAAAAUAACAACAAUAUCCUCAAGAUUUUUAGCAAUUUCCUCAAAGUUUUUAGUAGUUUCCUCAGAGAUUUCAACAUUUUCCUUAGACUUAUUAGAAUUUUCUUGAGAUUCAUCGGAACCACUGUGUCUACACCAAUCCAUCAAAUAUCUCUCCUUAGCCAACUUAAUUAUGUAAUAAGUUUUGCAUUUCAGUCAAGUCCCCCUUGUCGUUUGCCCUAACCUGUUGUCUUACAUUGUAAACUUGUUUAAGAAUAGAAGUAUUCAUAGGAAAACUUUCACUGAUAAACGCCAUGACUUGUUUUGCCUUCACCCCACACUUUGUCACCUUUAUAACAUGAUCCAUUUCUUCCUUUUUAAACCUUCCUGCGUAGGGAUGGCCUUCUAAAGUUGAAGUCAAUGGAUGGUUGUGAGAACCACAUACCACCUCUAACCUCCAAGAAUCAUGGCUUCCCAAUACAAAUUUUUCUUUUAAUUCAAAUGGACAUUGUAUUUUCUUAGUUCCAGACUAUCGAUGAAAUAGUUGUUGGUUGUCCGAUUUUUUCUUGUGAGAGCGAUACUUUCCACGACGGUCGCACAUUAGGAUCAACCAUGGUGAUUUAGUCCCACUCCUACCUUAGGAGCUCUUUGUGGUAAUAACAACUUUGUGAUUUUUUCCAGUAUUUUGGACCCAAGUAAUUAACUCACUCCGACUAUUAAAAACCUCUUCGGUGGUAAAAAACUUUGUCAAAUCAACGACCGUCUGAUUGUUACACCCAUUAUCAUCAUUGACGACAUCGGGGACAACAUGUUCACUUGAAGCAUUAGAAGCAUUUCUUACAUCUUCCUGCAAAUUAAAUAAUACUAUUUGAGAUAUUUGUUUGUUCUAAAAAUGAAAAAUGUAGCAAAAUUACACCUAUAUAACAUUUAGACCUCUUCAAAUUCAUUGGGAGUAACUUCAGAUUCGUCGAGAGUGUUUGAAUUGAGUUCAUUAAGUACCUCGUCCUGCAAUUGUUUAAAAAAAAUAAAAUAGAAAAAAUAGUAAAAUAAAAUUGUAUAUAUUAUUUUUCCAAUUUGAAAAAAAAAAACAAUCUUGAAAAAAAAAAAGAUGAGGAGUCAUCCAAACCUCUUGAGAUUGAUUGAGAGUCGUUGGAAAUUCAUUAUCAUCAACAAAAAUGGAUUCACUUGAAAUCCCAUCCUACAAUUUUAGUAUUUACAUAAAAAAUCAAAAAUUCAAAAAUUAACACUACGUGGAGUCGUCACCAACGUGGUGCUGACUGGUGCAUUUUAUCUUUUUAAGGUAAAUGGAAAAAAAACACACCCACACACAACUACUUCAGAUAAUAAUACAAAAAUAUAAUGACAUUCUAACCUCUUGAACUUCAUCUAGAUUUUUUGAAUUGAAAUUACUAGGAAAUUCUUCCUGCACUUACAAAUAAGUUAUCCAAAUGUAUAUUUACACCAAAAAAAAAAUAUCACAAAAAAAAAAUAAUAAUAAUAAUAUUGAACUUUAUCAAUAUGACCAUGGUGGUACUGCCCAUUGAGCGUAGUCGUCAGUGUAAGGUUGUUAUACCAUGGUGUCGUAUUGGGUAUCAUCGUACUAUUGUCUUAGGGUGGCACACCCCAAUUAAACAAGAUAUCUCUACUGCAUAAUCUCUGUGAAUGCAUCUCUAGAAGAAAAUUUUGUGCUAAAAUUAUUUAUUUGGUUGAGUUAAUACUACUACAGUACUAGUGCUCCACUGGUAGUCUGGUACCACAACCACCGUCAGACCCUCACCAACACCAAAUACUUCAGUAGUACAUGGUGUACUUGUGGGCAUUAGCUUCCUAGCUAAAAAAUAUAUAAAUAAUUUAAUUUUGAUAGCCAGCUCUUAAAGAUUUCAUCACCAAAGCAUGGUAGGUAUCAUAUUAUUACACACAAGAAUAUCUGUACAUGGACCAAUUAAAUGAUAAGCCAUCACCAUCUUAUACAGUUAAUGCGUGUUAUCGAAGAUUGUCGUUUCCAUAUGUCUAAAACUCAGGAAGAUUGGAUGUCAUGGUGUUUUGUAACCUAACCAAAUAUAUUUCAAAAGUUUAUAAACCAGACAAACAAGAUCAUUUCUGACUAUGAAAGCACCCUUAUUUCUACAAAAUCUUUAACCUAACUACCUAAAGCUCUUUUGCUUUGCUCAUAAUUUACACCUGAAUAUAAUGAAUGUCAGCAAUAUAAUAGAAUCUGUAUUUCAAACGAGAUUGUAAGUCCAUGAAACAGUUUUGCAAUAAAAAUAAUAAUAUUGAACUUUAUCAAUAUGGCACCAUGGUGGUAUUGCCCAUUGAGUGUAGUCGUCGGUGUAAAGUUGUUAUACCAUGGUGUUGUAUUGGGUAGCAUCGUAUUGUUGUCUUAGGGUGGCACACCCCAAUUAAACAAGUCAGCACCCAUAUGCUGACGAUUAAGUUUAGUAGUCAGCAUUGUCAUGAUGACCAUUGAGUACAAUGGGCAACACUCUACCGUUGGCUUAAAAGGGGGCACACCCCAAUUAAAUAUGUCAACACACAUACGCUGACCAUUAAGUGUAGUCGUCAGCAUUGUAGUGCUAGUGUAGUGAUCAGUAUCAUAGUGAUGUCUUAAAGGGGCACACCCAAUUAAACAUGUCAACGCCCAUAUACUGACCAUUUAGUGUAGUGGUCAGCAUUGUGACCCUUGAGCUAGUACUGUGAUUAGCAUCGUGGUGCUGACCUAAAAAUCGUCUCUUUUUUUCGUUUUAAUUGAAAAUAUCAUUAAAAUUACAGUUUACCUUUGAUGAUGGCGCAAGAUUUUUCCAUGAAUGUUUUUUUAUCAGAUCAGGCUAAUCUUCUUGUGGCACGUACAAAUCUAGUGGUCUCUUUAGUAUACCACUUUGUAAUUUUUCCCAGCUAAUUUCUUCGUUAUCAAGUCUAACAAAUAGAGCAGCAUCCGAAUUUCCUAAAACCUUAAUAAAUGCAUCAAAUGUUUUAUUUAAUUUCUCUUGCUUUUUAUCGAAUUCAUCAUCAUCACUACUUUCAUUAAUGAUAACUAUUAAUGAACAAAGUAAAAAAAAAAAUUAAAUGUUUAAUGGUUGUUGUAAAAGGAGACACUCAUUUUUAAAUGAAGAAAUUGAAGUAAAAUAAAUAUUAAUAAUGAUAAUAAGAGUUUAAUGGUGGGCACCCACCUAUUGGAAUGGGUGAUAAAACCAUACCAUACAGACCAGUACAGUAUAAUGUUUCUCACUUCUUGAUUUUCCCCCAAAUCACUUCUCCAGCCCUAGUUUUCCAAAGCGAGUGGCCGUUCUUCAACAUUACAGAUCUGGAGUAAGGGAUUUUGAGCUUUGAAUCGAUGGGUUAUUUGAAGCUGAAGUAAUAAAUGAUGGGAAUGGGUGGUAUCGGAAAUAAUUGGUUCAAUAAUUCAGAUUAUGUGAGGUCUGAUUUGAUGAUCUGGAAGAAGGUAUUUUCAGGUUUAUUUUCUUUUGUUUCCAAAUUCUACUUUUCUAUGGUUUUAAUUUUCUCUUUGAUCACUUAAUAUUUGGAAGAUUCAAAGCAUAUCUAAACCCAAUAUUAAAUUGAAGGGACUGAUAAUUUUUAUGUUUGAAAUGAAACCAAAAUCUUUUUUAGUAAGUUAGUAAUCACAGUUUCAGCCACUCCAUAAUUGUGAUUGUUGAUGACUUGGUUAAAAAUUUAUAUAUGCUCGAUCAAAAUAAUCAGGUGUGUACAAAAAUAUAUUCACCUACUCAUUUGAAUUGAGUCGCGUGGAAGUUAUGUAGUUUUGGAUUGUAUAUGCGGAAGUAUGAAGGAGUUGGUAUUUGCUUUUGGGGUUUUAAUUAGCUAGUGUGGCUAUGAAUUACUAAAUAGGUGGGCACAUAUAAUGUGAUGGUAGCAGCUUAUGUAAAUUUCUUUUUAUCUUCUUUUGAAACAAGGAAGAAACAGAUUUGUGAACAAACUGCAGAGCUUGAUAAAUGGAUGAGUGAUAUCCAAAAUAGGUACACUUCUCCCACACACCUUAAAAACCAUUCUCCUGAGUACAAUAUAUAUAGCCUCUUGUUAAAAUGUUUGUCAAUCUGACUGUAGAUUUUAUUUUGUGUUAUUAAUAGGUUGUAGGAUAGAUGGCAUUAUAUGUUGGUCUAUACUCCGUCGUCUUCCCCAAGGGCAUCCCUUUAUGUAGAGAAUGGGACUUUUAUGUCCUCGUUCUCGGCAUUUGUGCUUUUGAAGCAGUAAUCCUCCUUGGAUACACAGUCAAAGAGGUAGGGAAGAUACGUAACAGGCAAGUUGAGCUCAGAGGUCAAGAUCAGAGCUUGCACAAUUCAGCAGCGACAUUUGGAGAUAUGUGCAUAGAAAUGGACUCAGAGAAUAUUGUCGAAUCCGUCAGAGCAGGAAGGCCGGCUGACUUUCAAAGGAUGGACAUCUUCAACAGCAUCAUUUGGAAGCCGUUAAAAUUAAUAUCAUGUUCGUGGUGGUAUCUACUUUUAAUUGUGCUUCCCUUUUUAGGUUUUCUGGUAAUGGGUAUCGUGGGAUACUUGGUUGGAAUGCCAGACUCAUCAGGAGGUAGAUGAGGACAAGCUUCGUGUUUUGGUUGAAGAUAUUGUGUCACAGAUGGUCUCAGGAGAUGAUCGUGCUAGGUCCCCUUAAUUAAUUAGCUCCCCUUAGCAGUUGUCUUGCAUGCAGUUGUCUAAUAGGGAUUGGUUUACUACUGGUAUUUUUGUGGAAGCCUGUCAUGGCAGUUACUGAUAAUUUUAUGUGUUCUAAGCAACUCCACAUAUUAGCAGCAUGUCUUUUAUGAUUUGAUACAAAUUGACUUUUAUGAUUUGAUGCAAUUGUCUAAUAUUAGUAGUGCUUCUUUGACUGGUAUUUAUGUUGAAGUUGGACAUGGUAGUUCACUGAUAAUGUACAUUAUUGUGAAAUGUAUACUAUCAGUGCCAGCUAUUUAGUUAGUGUAGUUCUAACACUAGUACUUGCUCCUAGAUUGUGUAAUGUGUUUCUCAAAGUUGUCUUCAAAUUUUGCUACACUGCCAUGAUUAUCUGGUGCACAACGUACAGAAAAUUAAUCAUCUCCUCUGUCAACUUGCGCUACAAAAAACUGUAGGGGGGCAUACUCACAUUUGAUAUGAUAAAGGUAAUGUUUGUGCCCUAUUUGUUGCAAAUCUUUGGAAACCCUCCAUGUACAACAUGCUCAUUGCACCAUUUGCAAUGUAUUGCACCCAGGAGAUUAGAAUAAACUCCUCCGGGAAAAUCUCCACCCAUAUAUUUGCACUUCAACCCAAUCAUUGUGGCAUAUAACAUUGACCAACCACUACAUGUGACACUUCCAACUUUAAAACCAUGGAAAUGGUUCUGGGACCUCAUUAAGGUGGAGCAAAACACAAAUGGCCCAGCUAAGAAACUCAUUUUAAAAAAGGCCCUGAUUAAGUAUUGGUAGGGAUAAGAAAAUACCCAUUUAACAUAAAAAUUGUAAAAAGGGCCAUAACAAGAUUUUAAGUAUAACUUUAAUUCGAAUAUUACCUUUUUUUAUUUUCUAGAGAUUUCUUAGCACCACAAUUACGUUUCUUCUUUUCAAAUAAAUUAUGUUCUUAAUCUCUUCUUAAUUGGAACAAUUUUAAUUCAAAUUUUAGUGAACUAUCUGUUGUGUACAUUUGUUUAGCAAAAUAAAUUCAAACUAUUGCCCAGAUGUGGUGUCUAUAUGCAAACAAGUAUUUGCAUUUUUAUGGUUUAUCUGUUUGUGAUAGAUGCAAACAAAUCUUUGCAUUUUAUGUUUAUGUGUGUGAUUAAUGCAAAUACGUCUUUGCAUUUUAUGGUUUAUGUGGUUGUUGUUGCGAGUAUGCAAAUAAAUAUUUGCAUUUAUGUUUGUAUGUGUUUGUGACUUAUGCAAACAAGUCUUUGCAUUUUAUGUUUAUGUUAUGACUGAAAUAACAAUCCUCAAGUUAGGCCCAAUUAGUAGUUUAAAGUCAAGUUGAUCCGGCCUAAAACACAUCAUCUUCAUCCCAUGUUAUUUAUGUUCAGCAGCAGCCAUUACUUCACCCUCUCAAGCUUGAUUGCUACUUUAAUUUACAUAAUUGUGAUUUUGAAUUAAUCCAUGGGUUGGUGGAAUCCAUGGGUGAGAUGAUUGUAGUUUCUGAUGGUAGCCCUCUUAGAUUUAAAAAACAGCAAUAACAAUCAUUUUUCUUCUUUCAAAAUUUUAUUUUCAAUUAUUAACGGCUUUUCGUUAAAUUUUUUUUAUAAAUCUCUCUCUUCUUUUUCUUCUUCUUUUAUGAUUGAUUAUGUAUUUAAUUUCUUUUUUUUUUCUUUCAGUACUUUUUAUUUUGAGAGAAGAAAGGAGAAAAAGAGAUUACGAAGGAGAAGAGAGACGAUGCUAGGGGUAUAUUGGUCCAUAAGGCACGGAAAACACGUUGGGCUUUUUUUUACAAUUAAUUCCCUAACCGGGCCAAUUGUAUAUUUCCAAACCUUAAAUGGGUCCGUUUUUUUUUUUUUCCCUGCUUUAAACCUCAGGAUCAAAGUGUUCAGUUACAUUUCUCAAUCAUUAAAGUUGGAAGUCUUCUCUAAAGAAGGGGUAUUUAGGGUUUAGUCACCAUAGGUAUAUACUAUUUAAUAAAAAGACACUUAAGUUAUGUUAAUUAGGUUUUGGAUCACUUGAUAUAUUUGAACAGCUUAUUAAAUUUAAUUUGUCUAGUGUUUUUAUUUGGAAGAUUCAAAACAUAUCUAAAUAUUAAAUUAAAGGGACUAAUAUAAAACAAAGAAUAGGGCCAAAAGGCCAAAUUCCAACCCUGAGCCAAAUGAACAUUUUUAAAAGUGGUUGUCAAAAGCACAAAUUUAUAUAUCUUAUGUAAAGGACAUAAGAUUUUCUUAGGCCCAAGGACAUGCCCGUAAUAUCUGCCCGACAUAUGAUCCAACAAUAUUUUAUAAUGAUAUUUUUACCCUUACAUAGAUAUAGUAAAUAAAUCAUCAAAUUUGAAACGUUCGAUUUGUUUGAAACUCCAUUUUCUUUUAUCUCUCUGUUUCUACAUCUCUUGGAGAUUUUUUCCAUUUUUGUUUAUCAUCUCUCUAUUCGUUUGGAAAAUCAAAGAAGUUUGAUUUGCUAAAUUCUUUAAGUUUGAUUUUUCGAAUUGAAGAAUUUCAUUUGAAAUCUCUUUAGAAGUUUGAAUUCAUUUGGUUUUCGAUCUACAACACUAAUUAUUAAUGGAGAACAAUCUGUGGGUAUUAAAGAAAGCACAUAUAUGGGUUGUGAUAAUCUACUAAAUACAUUAUCAUGUGGGUAUUGAAGAAAUGGUUAUUAAUGGAGAACCAUCUAAUUUUCAAUUGUAAUUAUGAACAUGAGAACUAUUGUAAUUAUUAAUUGUGGUUGUCAUUUUCAAUUGUCGACAAGCUACGAAUUUUACAGUUUUCUUAUAGAGAAGAAAAUUGAGUCAACUCGGUUUCUUGAGUCAACUCGGUUAUUAUUAUAAUUGUGAUCACAUCAUGUUGCCACUGUAGUUAUCUUUGAAAAUUAAACAUGAUAACAUCAUGUUAUCAUUGAACAUGUAUGAUAACAUGAUGUUAUCAGUAGACUUAUCCUUGAUAACAUCAUGUUAUCACAAUAUACUAUUUCAGAAUUCUAGUAAAAGUUUACUAUGGAAAAUAUGUUUCAAGUAGUGACAAAGAAGAUGAAAAAGAAAGGAACCUAACCAAAAACCACAAGUAGAGGAUAAAGAUACUUACUUCUUUGUUGUUGAUUAUAUGUGAUCAGAGAGUAUGUAAUGUUAUCAGAUAUAUGAUAACGUGAUGUUAUCAGUUUCAGAUUUAUGAUAACAUAAUGUUAUGACUGAUGUUAUCAUUGAAAAUGUGUGAUAAUAUGAUGUUAUCACUACACUUGUCCUUGAUAACAUGAGCUCUAAAUAUAUGGUAACAUGAUGUUAUCACUGCAAUUAUGCUUAUAAACAUCAUUUUAUUAUCUUUAUUUAAGUUUUAGGGUUUUUGUUUAGUGUUAAUGGUCAAAUACAAAUCCUACUAGGGUUAACAACACCUAUACGUGAUAGUGUUUUAGAUGUAUCAUAUGUGUACGUAAAAUUAGUUCCACAAGUUUAGAUUUAAGUGUGUUUAAAAGUAAGUCGAUAACUUGUACAAAUCCUACUAGGGUUAACAACACCCAUACAUGGUAGUGUUUUAGAUGUAUCAUACGUGUAUGUAAAAUUAGUUCUACUAGGGUUAACAACACUCAUACGUGGUAGUGUUUUAAAUGUGCCAUACGUAUGCGUAAAAUACUGGAAAAAAAAAUGUGAUACCAAGAUAUGAAUGUAGAAUAAAUUUAACAUUCAUGAACUUAGCAAUAGCUAAAACAAUUUAUAACAAACAGUACAUGUUUGUACUUAUCAAAAUAUGUGAGUGUAACAUACAUGUACUUAACAAUAGCAAAGUAUGUCUUCUAUCCAUAAUUUAUAACAACCAUAGUUAUUAUCAAAACACUACUACUUUUCCAAAGUAAGUCUUCUAUCCACAAGAUUUUGAUAUUCUUCAGUCCAAUUCUUGGGGAGUCAUUCAGGAUCAAAACUGCACAUUGAACACGUGUUUUUUGUCCCAAUUUCUCAUCUACAUUAUCUGGUACAAAAUUCAUAAAGGUCAAAACUUCCAUGAUCAACCCAACAUAAAUAGCACAGUCACUAGUUUGACCUUGUCGUGGUGUUGUAGCUUCUUCAAAUGGAAGAUCCAAAUUUAAUGAUUCGUUUUGUAGCUCCAUCCUAAACCUUUUGUUGAUUAGGACUACAAGAUUGUUUUUCUAAUUUUGUUUUCUUAGAAAACAAAAUUAUAAACAAAAAUUAAUAUGUUAUCAACAUAAACUUAUAUUGGCCAUAGUGUUAACAUGAUGUUAUCAGAGAUACCAAAGCUGAUGACAUGAUGUUAUCAGGGAAACCUACACUGGCCAUAUUGAUAACAUGAUGUUAUCAGAGAUACCAAAACUGAUAACAUCAUGUUAUCAGGGAAACCUAUACUGGCCAUAGUGAUAAAAUGAUGUUAUCAGAGAUACCAAAACUGAUNNNNNNNNNNNNNNNNNNNNNNNNNNNNNNNNNNNNNNNNNNNNNNNNNNNNNNNNNNNNNNNNNNNNNNNNNNNNNNNNNNNNNNNNNNNNNNNNNNNNNNNNNNNNNNNNNNNNNNNNNNNNNNNNNNNNNNNNNNNNNNNNNNNNNNNNNNNNNNNNNNNNNNNNNNNNNNNNNNNNNNNNNNNNNNNNNNNNNNNNNNNNNNNNNNNNNNNNNNNNNNNNNNNNNNNNNNNNNNNNNNNNNNNNNNNNNNNNNNNNNNNNNNNNNNNNNNNNNNNNNNNNNNNNNNNNNNNNNNNNNNNNNNNNNNNNNNNNNNNNNNNNNNNNNNNNNNNNNNNNNNNNNNNNNNNNNNNNNNNNNNNNNNNNNNNNNNNNNNNNNNNNNNNNNNNNNNNNNNNNNNNNNNNNNNNNNCAGUACAAGCCCACUUAUAACAUGAUGUUAUCACUUUUAGUUUAAUUUCAAGUAAAAUAAAAGUAAAAAAUAGGUGAUAACAUUAUGUUAUCAAGGGACAAGCCCAUUAAUAAUAUGAUGUUGUCACCAUCAGUUUCACUUCAAAGUAAAAAAAAAAAAUAGGAUAACAUCAUAUUAUCACAGUACAAGCCCACUGAUAACAUCAUGUAAAAUUUUACUGCAGAUUGAACGGCCAUUCUAUCUGUUUUGGGAAACAAUCAAAAUUAUGAUCCACUAUACUAGGGGUGUAAAUUUUUGCCGAUUUUUCUGAUUUUUCGAUUUAAUCUAUUUUCAAAUUUGGAAUGGAUUAUUGUAGUUAUGAUUUUCGAAUUUUUGAUUUUCGAAUUUUUAGAAAAAAAUGGAACAGAAUUGGAACUACUCCCGUGAAUUUGAUUUUUCCGAUUUGUAAUCCGAUCCGAUUUUUCGAUAAAUAUUCCAAAAUUUUUGAUAAUUUAAAGAGAUAUAAAUUAUUCUCAUUUUUUAAAAUAUACGUACAUAUAGACAUAAAUACAAAGUUUAAAAUCACACGAGGACUCAAUAGAAAAUUAUAGUUAAUCUGAAAUCUUAAUUUAAUCAAAUAUCAAUGUAUGAUUCAACAAAAAAUAAUGUAAUAGUAAAUUAUUAGUUAGUUUAUACUUUCGAAUGAAGAUCAAUGUUUAUUGGUCAGAUUAUAAUUUCUUUCUUGUUCAUGCAAUUAUAUUAUUAUAUAAAGUUUACAGUAUAAUUGUGUUUUGUAAAAUGUAAUACUUCAGAACUUUGAUAUAUCAUUAGGGCAUGUUACACAAAAAUACCCUAAUGAGCAAAUAUAGUGUAUCAUCUAAGUAUAAAGAGUGUAGGAUUUUAAAGUAUUCAAAUCGGAUGACAUCUACCAUUUCGAUUUGGGGAAUUUCAAUUAAUUUCGAUAAAUUUUUAAGUUGGAAUUCCGAUUUUUUUAUCUUGAAAUUCUAAUUGACCCAAAUUUAUUUUUUUCAAAUUUUUUUCGAUAUUCCGAAUUUGGAAUAAAUUUUGUUGUCUGAAACAAAAUUAGAAUAAAAUUGGAAGAAUUUGUUUGAUUUUGAUUUUCGAUUUAUUUUUCCUGAACAUGCCAUUUUCGAUCGAUUCAGUCCGAUUUCAACCCCUAUACUCUGUAUUGUACUUUUUUACCAAAUUCAUCUUGAUUAAUUCUCCUUUGCCUCUUGAUUAAGCUUCUUUAAUCACAUUAUCCUGCAGUAUCAUUGUUGAUAGUCAAGCUCUACAUACCGAACCCACAACCACUGCAUCCCAGUAUCCAUGAGAUUGUGAUUGCCAUUAUUUUAAACGUGUACAAUCUUCUACCCACAGCCAAGGGCCUACAUUGUUACUGAAAUAUCACCGAAAACUUAUUUAAUAGAAGAGAUUUUUGGAUAUACCUAGGGCAUGAACGGAUCGGUUUUUGGAUAUACCUAGGGCAUGAACGGAUCGGAUACGGAGCGGAUAUGUAGUAAUUUUAGUAUAUCCGUUUUUGUAUUCGUAUUCAAGUCGAACUGAAUUUUUCGUACUAUAUCCGUAUUCAAUUAUACGGAUUCGAUAAUCCAAUUUUAAUUCGGAUCGAAUAUCCGAAUCUAUUUUCGGUUUGAUUUUCUGUAACUAAAAUCUAAAUAUGAGAAAUUAUAAUAAAAAGUUUUUGGAUAUAUCAAAAUUUUAUAAAUUAAAAAUUUAAAUUGUUAGAUUUUUUGUUUUUAUAUAUAAUUUGAUGACCAUAUUAGCCCUGUAAAAAUGGUAUAUUAUUUGUAUUAAAGUAUAAAUCUGGAUAUAUCCGGAUUUUAUCAAUAUCCUAUCCGUAUUCGAACCGGUCAAAAUAUUAUAACCGUAUCCGUAUCUAAAUUAAAAUCCGGAUAAUUUUUUUGAACCAUAUCCACUAUAUUCAGAUUUCAGUCGGUCGGAUAUUCAAAUAAAUCCAACCCGAUUUCCUGCUCUAGACAUACCCCCAUUUCAAGACAACCAUAGGUUAGUUUUAUAAUGGAUGGCUAAGAUAACACAACAUCCUAAAAUGGGGUAUCUCAAAUUUCGACUUUCAAAUAAGAUAUGUCCAAAAAUCUAUUAAUAUAAUUACAGAAAUAUAAUAAAAAAUAACAGAGGCUGAAAUAUUGAAUAGAUUGCUAAAAUUUGUAGUUCGUGUUUAAUAAAGAAUAGCGAAUAAGAUAAAAAUUAUAUAUAUGAAAGAUAUAAACACGAAAGCAACUAUGAUAUAAGUCACCUCUUAGAAAUUAACAUCUGUAAAGCAUAGCAGAUGACACCCAAUUCUCUGACUAGGCACUCGUAAGAGUGUCCCACCUAAUAAACCCCCUUUAUACUACCUUUCCAAAUUGGUUGUCCAACGGUUCAACCUCUAAUAUCCAUGUCCAGUUUGCAGGCAGCGCCUACAGUGUGUUUUUCCCAAGUUCCUUUACAUGAUCCUGGUAGCCUACUGAAACUCGGGCCUUCACAGAAUUGUCUUGAUACCCUCAUAAUCCCUUACCACCAUCUUUUGUUUUGGUUGACGUUACAUCCCUUCAAAAUAGAAUUAUCGUAUUAAUAACAUGAAAGCAUAUUUAUCACAGUGAUGAUAAAUGGAUAAUCAGAAAGAAUGUUAUAUGAACUCCCAAAGAUACCUUGUAAGCAAGUAUUUGUUAUUAAUUUGACGAUGUAAAUUAGAGACUCCAUCAUCACUGUUUUCUCUUUCCAUAUUCUACUUCUAACAGAUUCAGAAGGGUUCAACUAAUUGUAGAGAGCUUGAACAAUGAACAACCAUUCUAUUCAUGAUGACAAUCUACAAUCUUUUAAGACAAGUACUGAAAAUACUGUGAGCCAGGAUGGGGCUUUCUCUUUAUUACUUUGUACUCAAUCGGGUGCAUAUCAUUGUGCGUCCGGGUUAUAGUGCACUAGUUAGUAUAAAUAAAAAGUUAGUCUUCUUUUUAUAUGUACUUCACUUUAAGUAAUUCAGUAAACACUAAAUCAACAGUUUCCUUAUUUUGUUCUUCAUUACCUUUAAUUAAGUACUCUGUUAUAUGUUUCUUGGUCUAUUUAUUUUUUAUAAGGUGAGUUAUAAGGCGAGUUACCAAUGUGUUCUUCAAGUUUAUAAUGCGAGUUAACAAUAAACAGGCCAUUUAUAGAAUUUGAAAGUAGAUGGAUGUAACUCGAAAUUUGUACAAUUAUGUUAUGGAAACAAAAGUUUUUGUCAAUCAUAAGAUGAUUAGAAAAAACAUUAUUCAAAUUCAUAACUCUAAAAUCAUACCCUAGCUUAUAACGUUUACCAGUGAUGUGAAAAUUAUUAAUAAUAUUUGGAAAACUUCUUGAACCACAUUUGGUUGAAAAUAAGAUAGUAAGAAAAUCUUAUCCCAUUAGUCCUGAUGUCCCCAGUAGAAUUAUAGUAAGAAAAUCUUACCCCAGCAGAAUGUACAAAUAAUAGGUUUUCCACUAAAACCAAAAGAAAAUAAUAAUAAUAAUGUUUAUACCUUUGUUCCAUUAGUGCUUCCUAAAACACAUGGAUUUGCCGUAAUGACCAUUCUCCAAGAAAGCCCAAUUUCAAUCUGAGGAAUUAAUCAGAAUAGUUUAAUCUAGAAACUUUCCAGAAAUUUAUAAUAAAUAGCUAUAAUUAAACAUGUAACUUACCAAAAUUAAGAAUAACUGGUACCACAGUCUACAGAUGCUAAAAACAAGCAAGCGAUGGUUAUAAGAUGAGGAGAAGGACCGACUUAGGAGAACACCACCCUUUGGAUGUUUCAUUACCUUCUUUUCCGAUACCACCUCUUCCCAGUUCAAGAAAAUAAGUACAGUAAAGAAUCAACAAAUUCAUGAUUUUUUUUUUUUUUUUUUUUUUUUUUUUUUUCUAGAUCUAGAACUUUGUAUAUAAAAUUCUUAACCAUUGAGCGGCCAUUCUCUCUGUACCUGGAAAACUAGGUUUUAGUUGUGACUAUAUAUAUAUAUAUUUACUUUCAACCAAAAAUUACAAUCUGCCCCAAGAGGAUCUUUCAUUUGACAUUUGAUAUGAGAUUUGCUUUUGGUCUUGAUCUGAUCUGAAAAUAUGUCAAAGAUCAAACAUGGCUAUUUCAAUAUGGACAAGCAAGCUGCAAGCCCAUUGGUUGAAGAUGGGGUAACCAGUUUUGGAUUUGGGCAACAAGAAAUCUUUGGUAAAGAAUAUGGCCAUUUUGAUAAUACACCCCUUUUUUGUGUCACAUUUGGCUAAUACACCCUAUUAGUCCAGGAAUUAGUUGGUCCACUAGUUGGUCCACUGAUUCAAGACCUUGACUCUGUUAAUAUAGACAUUCAACUUCCUUUAACUCGGUCAAACCCCUUAAGUUACAUAAACACCCUUAUCUUUCAAAAUACCCUAGUUACCACUAUUUGAUUUAAAUCGUUAAUCUAACAUUUGUUGGUAGAUGUAAUCCAAGUCGUUGAUUAAAAGUGUAAAUAUACAAAAUUAUCCUUUACUUGUCAAAUGGACGAUACACCUAAGAGAUCGUUCUGCUUUUAAGUUGAUCAUAUGGAUGGUGAUAAUGGACUUUUUCCUUUAGCUAUUUAUAUUUGUGUGAGAGAGAACCUGGAUAAUUGGAAGGACAAGGAGUGCACCACAUCUAUCUGGUAGGAGGUUAACAAUCAUGUCUGACAGAUAGAAAGGUUUAGAUGCAGCUGUAAAUGAAGUUUUUCCUGGAUGUGAUCAAAGGUUUUGUAUGAGACACAUAGCUGCAAAUAUGACACAAUAUCAUAGGGUUGUUGAAAGGUAUACAUGGUGUAACACCCCGGGAUUUCGUCCUCACUCAUCCCGGUGCGUCGAGCUUCAUACCGCUAGCUAAUGUCAAUAUUUUCCCCCUUUAGUCACUGUGGAUAUCCAGCAGUAGAGGGUUUUGGAUCAGGGCCCACCCACUAGGUUUUCCCCAAAAAGCCUUAACAGUAGUUAGAGUAUGGUUAAGCUCUAUAUACUACCAAUACAACCACUUCUUUGGUAAUGUGAGACUAACACCAACUCAUGGGUGUUACACAAAAGGGUUAGUAGACAGAAAAAUGUAAAAUUUUAAAAUUUUUUAAUUACACCACAAAUGUAUCUGAUACACAAUUUACAAAAUAUUGUAACAAUAAGAAGUGAUUAUAUGAGUUUUAAAAGAAAAUUUCACCGAAAAAGUUGUAUUUUCGAAAACGCUUAAUAUUGGCAUUCGGCAAAAGGGGUGAGUACACAGAAAAAUGUAAAAAUUUGAAAUUUUUUAAUUACACCACAAAUGUAUCCGAUACACAAUUCAUAAAAUAUAGUAACAAUAAGAAGUGAUUAUAUGAGUUUUAAAAGAAAAUUUCACCAAAAAACUUGCAUUUCCGAAAACGCCCAAUAUUGACAUUCGACCAAAGGGGUUAGUACACAGAAAAAUGUAAAAUUUUAAAAUUCUUUAAUAACACAACAAAUGUAUCCGAUACACAAUUUACAAAAUAUAUUAACAAUAAGAAGUGAUUUAUAUGAGUUUAAAAGAAAUUUUCACCAAAAAAAUUGUAUUUCAGAAAAUGCCCAAUAUUGGCAUUCGGCCAAAGGGUUAGGACACAGAAAAAUAUAAAAUUUUGAAAUUUUUUAAUUACACCACAAAUGUAUCCGAUACACAAUUUAAAAAAUAUUGUAACAAUAAGAAGUGAUUAUAUAUGUUUUGAACAAAAAUUUCAUCAAAAAAGUUUCAUUUCGGAAAAUGCUCAAUAUUGGCAUUCGGCUAAUAACCACGUACAUAGAAAAUGUAAAAAAUUUAAUUUUUUUAACUAAACCACAAAUGAUUUCGAUAAACAAUUUAUAAAAUAUAUUAACAAUAAAAAGUGGUUAUAUGAGUUUUGAACAAAAUUGUUACCUAAAAAAAUGUAUUUCGAAAAAUACUCAAUAUUGGCAUUCGGCCAAAGGGGUUAGUACAAAAAAAAUAUAAAAUUUUUAAAAUUUUAAAUUACACCACAAAUAUAUCCGAUCCACAAUUUACAAAAUAUUGUAACAAUAAUAAGUGAUUAUAUGAGUUUUGAACAAAAAUUUCACCCAAAAAGAUGCAUUUCAAAAAAUGCUCAAUAUUAGCAUUCGGCCAAAGGGUUAGGACACAGAAAAAUGUAAAAUUUUAAAUUUUUUUAAUUACACCAUAAAUGUGUCCGAUACACACUUUACAAAAUAUUGUAAGAAUAAGAAGUGAUUAUAUGGGUUUUGAAGAAAAACUUCACCUUAAAAGAUGCAUUUCGGAAAAUGCUCAAUAUUAGCAUUCGACCAACGUACACAGAAAAAUGUAAAAUUGUUAAAUUUUUUUAAUUACACCACAAAUGUAUUCGAUACAUAAUUUAUAAAAGAUAUUAACAAUAAGAAGUUGUAUAUGAGUUUUGAACAAAAAUUUCACCUAAAAAUAUGAAUUUCGGAAAAUGCUCAAUAUUAGGAUUCGGCCAAAGGGUCGGGUUAGUACUCAGAAAAAUGUAAAAUUUUUAAAUUUUUUAAUUACACCACAAAUGUAUCAGAUACACAAUUUACUAAAUAUUGUAACAAUAAGAAGUGAUUAUUUGAGUUUUGAAGAAAAAAUUCACCAUAAAAGAUGCAUUUCGAAAAAUAUUUUAUUGACGUUCGGCCAAAGGGUUAGUACACAAAAAAAUAUAAAAUUUAAAUUUUUUUUAAUUACACCACAAAUGUAUCCGAUACACAAUUUACUAAAUAUUGUAACAAUAAGAAGUGAUUAUAUGAGUUUUGAAUAAAACAUUCACCUCAAAAGAUGCAUUUCGAAAAAUAUUCUAUAUUGGCAUUCGACCAAAGGGUUAGUACAUAGAAAAAUGUAAAAAUUUUAAAUUUUUUAAUUACACCACAAAUGUAUCCGACACACAAUUUAUAAUAUAUUGUAACAAUAAGAAGUGAUUAUAUGAGUUUUGAAGAAAAAAUUCACCUUAAAAGAUGCAUUUUGAAAAAUGUUUUAUUGUUCGGCCAAAGGGUUAGUACAAAGAAAAAUAUAAAAUUUAAAUUUUUUUUAAUUACACCACAAAUGUAUCCGAUACACAAUUUACAAAAUACUGUAACAAUAAGAAGUGAUUAUAUAAGUAGUGGUUAUAUGAGUUUUGAAGAAAAAUUUCACUUAAAAGAUAUAUUUUGAAAAAUGUUCAAUAUUGGCAUUCGACAAAAAGGUUAGGAGACAGAAAAAUGUAAAAUUGUGAAAUUUUUUAAUUACACCACAAAUGUAUCUGAUAUACAAUUUAUAAAAUAGAUUAACAAUAAGAAGUGGUUAUAUGAGUUUUGAACGAAAAUUUUACCUAAAAAUAUGCAUUUCAGAAAAUGCUCAAUAUUGGCAUUCAGCCAAAAGGUUAGGACACAGAAAAAUGUAAAAUUUUUAAAGUUUUAAAUUACACCACAAAUUUAUCCGAUACACAAUUUACAAAAUAUUGUAACAAUAAGAAGUGAUUAUAUGAGUUUUGAACAAAUAUUUUACCUGAAAAGAUGCAUUUCGAAAAAUACUCAGUAUUGGCAUUCAACCAAAGGGGUUAGUACACAGAAAAAUGUAAAAUAUUAAAUUUUUUUAAUUACACCACAAAUGUAUCCGUUACACAAUUUACAAACUAUUGUAACAAUAAGAAGUGAUUAUAUGUCUUUUGAACAAAAAAUUCACCUAAAAAGAUGCAUUUCGAAAAAUACUUAAUGUUAGUAUUCGGCCAAAGGGUACACAGAAAAAUGUAAAAUUGUCAAAUUUUUUAGUUACACCACAAAUGUAUCUGAAACACAAUUUAUAAAAUAUUGUAUCAAUAAGAAGUUAUUAUAUGAUUUUUGAACAAAAAAAUCACCUAAAAAAAUGCAUUUCGAAAAAUGCUCAAUAUAGGCAUUCGACCAAAGGGUAGUACACUGAAAAAUAUAAAAAAAUUAAUUUUUCAAUUACACCGCAAAUGUAUCCGAUACACAAUUUACAAAAUAUUGUAACAAUAAGUAUGAGUAUUGAAGAAAUAUUUCACCUUAAAAUAUGUAUUUUGAAAAAUGCCCAAUAUUGGCAUUCGGCCAAAGUGUUAGUACACAGAAAACUGUAAAAUUUUGUGGACACCUUGAACAUUUAUAAUAGCUUUGUGGACAUUAAAGCGGGAAAAUAUAUUUGUUCUAGGGAAUCAUGCAACUAUUUUUUUGUUAUUCUUUUUUGUAGGAAUGUCUUCUAUGCAUUCAGAUACAUAAUCAAUGGCUACUAGUAUGUAAAGAUAACAAUUAGAGUUAGGUAAUAGACACAAGAAAUUUAUACCCCAACAAUAAAAAAUGUCAACUGCCAAAAUAUAUUUUUAUUGCAUUUCUUUUCUUUUAGAAAUUCUACCUAAUUGUUGACCCCGUUGGCAAUUUUUACAAUAUAUAUUAGAAUCAUGAAAUAAAGUAGGCCAAUAAAAUCCACAUUGUAGUACCUUUGUGGUCGUUUUAUUUGCACUAAACUUUCCACCACAUGCAUGAUCAUGACAAAAAGACAAAGUUUCUAUUUGUUCCCAAUUUGGUAUACAUCUUUUAAUUAUUUGGUCGGGGCAAUAUUUAAAUAAGUAUGGUACAUCUUUUAAAUAUUUUUAUUUCAUUUUCACUCUAUUGUGUAAGUAUAUUCUCGGUUACAAGGUAAUUAACUAUAUCAACAUACCAUGGAGGUUUUAAGAUAGCAAACAAUUCUUCAUCUAGAAAAAUAUCACUAAUUUCCCCUUCUUACUUAUCUUCUAUAUUUAACCUAAAAAGGUGGUCGGCUACUACAUUUUCACAUCCGUUUUUAACUUUUAUCUCUAAAGAAAUUUUUUGUAAGAGUAAUACCCACCUAAUUAGUCUUAUUUUUUUUUCCCUUUUAGAAAGAAGAUGUUUAAGAGCGGCAUAGUCCGUGAAGAUAGUUUUUUAGGAACCUAUUAGGUACGACUAGAAUUUCUUUUUUUGUAGUUGUAUAAUUACGUUGAAGUGUUGAACAUCAUUCAAAGUCUUACUGGCAUAGUAUAUAACACUUGGUUUAUUCUCUUUACGUUAUCUUAAAACCGCACCAACGGCAUAGUCUGAGGCAUCACACAUUAACUCAAAGGGGAGAAACCAAUUUGGAGGUUGGAUUGUUGGAACGGACGUUAAGUUGGUUUUUAGUUGAUUAAAGGCCGACACACAUUCUUCAUUAAAUCAAAAGGUUGUAUCUUUAGUUAAUAAAUUUAUAAGUGGUCGAGCAAUUUUAGAAAAAUCUUUAAUAAGCCUUCUAUAAAAAUCGGCAUGGCUUAAAAAUGCUAUAAUGUCUCUUAUUUUUUAGGAAUAGGAAGGGAGGAUAUAAUUGAAAGUUUAGCUUCAUCUAUUUUUAUUCCUUUAGGAGUUAUAACAUGACCUAGAACUAUUCUUUUAGUUACUAUAAAAUGACAUUUUUUCCAAUUUUACACUAAGUUCUUUUCUCCACAUCUUAUUAAGAUUUUUUUUUUAGAUUUUCUAAACAUGUAUCGAAUGAUUCUCCAUAAAUGGAGAAAUCAUGUAUAAAUACUUCCAUAAAUAUUUCUACCAUGUCACUAAAUAUAUGUAGCAUACACCUUUGAAAGGUGGCGGGUGCAUUACAAAAUCCAAAGAACAUUCUCUUAUAAGCAUAUGUUCCCAAAGGGCAUGUAAAGGUUGUCUUUUCUUGGUCCUCGGGAGCUAUAGGAAUUUGAUUAUAACCAGAGUAACCAUCUAAGAAACAAUAAUAUGAAUGAUCGCCUAACCUGUCUAACAUUUGAUCUAUAAAGGGAAGAGAAAAAUGAUAUUUUCUAGUGACUUUAUUUAGACGCCUAUAGUCGAUAUACACUUUCCAUUUAGUAGGUGUUUAGCCUACUAGCGGACUUAUCCGCUAGUUAAAGUGUCAUACGAGUAGGCUUAAUUUCUUUUAAUCCGAGUUUUUGGUAUAAAUAAUAAGAGAGUAAGUUAACACUAACUGCUAAAUCUAAAACCGCGGUACCUUGAAAACCAUCACCCAGUGUAUAAUUAAUUGUAGGUUUACCGGGAUCUUUAUAUUUUACUACUCCAUUUUGUUCAACAAAGGAAGAGAUUUGCUCCUAAACAUUAGUUCUUCUUUUAAUAGUACGUACAAAGUUCUUUAUGAAACUUAGCAUGUUGAGGCAUAUUUCUAAGAAUGGUGAGAAAAGGUAUAUUAAUAGUAAGAUUUUUAAAAAUUUUCUUAAUCUCAUUAAAUGGUUCUUCACUUUGAGGACCUAAAAACCUAUGUUGAUAGGGUGCUUUAGGUAUAUAUUUCCGAACUUCUUCUUCUUUUCAUUAUUUUUAUUAUUAUUUUUACUUGAAGAAGCUACAUUUUUAUCCUUAGGAGAAGUAGAAUUUUUAUCCUUAGAUAUUUCUCUAGAAAUAGGUUUAUAAACAUUAACAGGUUGACUAUCUAAACUCGAAUCAUGAGAAAGGACAACAUUAGUUUUAGUUGAUUUAGAAUUAUUAGUUUGAAGUAAGUCAUUUUCGGGAGGCAUUAUUACUUUAUUAUCAUAUUCUUUUCCAGAGCGUAAAGUAGUUAUGACCAUAACUUCUUCUCUUUGAAUUACAUUAUCCUUGGUUUAGACUUCAAAAACUUUUUGGUUUUGUUUAGGAUUGACAAUAGGUUAGCCCAAGAAUUUUCCUUUUUCAAGUUCUGCAUCUACUUUAGCUUUUGUUCAAGUCUUUCAAUGAUUUUAUUUUGUUUAUCUUGUUGGUGUAAGUUUUUCAUUAAAAAAGCUUCAUAACUAGACUUAGGUUGCUCAUUAUUUUGUUGAUUUUGAACCAGAGGCGCAUUAUUAGCUUUUUGCAUUUGAUUUCCAUACUUUUGAAAAUAGUGUUUUGCCCCACAAACUUAUUAGGACCUUGAUUUCUAGCAUUUUGGUUACCAUAAUAUGGUUUAGUAUUUUGAUUGAAAGGUUUAGGUUCAUUAGGAUUACUCCAUCUAAAACUGGGAUCGUCACCAUAUCUAGGAUUAAAAUUAGGGCCAUGAUAAUUAUUAGAUCUAUUUUCCCAAAUAUCGUUAGCUUGUUCUUGUUCAUAAGGAACAAAAGGACAUGUGUUUUCAUUAUGAUCGGUUUCUGAACAAGUUUAACAUACUUCGUUAAUAUUCAUUACGAGAUUUGGUUGGUUAUUUUGAAUAGAGAGAGCAUCGACCUUUUUAACUAGAUUUUUAAUUAAGGUUUUAACUUCACCGUCUUCUUCUAAUCUAGCCGUGGGUUUAACUUCAUAGAUUUCGGGAAUAGGAUUAGGAUUAUUUCCCCAAUGUUGAAAAUUAUCAGCUAACUUAAUAAGGAAAUCAUUUUUUUUUUAUUCGCAACCGGGGUUGAGGGGAACUCUACCCCUUUAAAUUACGCAUGAAAACUUAUAUCAACAAUCAUCUGUUGAUGUGUUUCGAAGCCGCAACCUCUCCACUUUGUGAGAGGGGUGCUACCAUUGCGCCACAGGCUCAUUCGCAAAAAAAUAUUGUGGUAAGCCUAUUUUUAAUGAGAUCAGUAAUUCAGUAAUGCUAAUAAAAAAAAUCAUUGGCUUGGGUUGCGGUUGCACGUGUGGUGGGAUUAAAACCAUUGUAAAAACAUUGAACUAAAGUUUUCAUAGAGAACUGAUGAUGUGAGUAUUGUAAUUGUAAUUUUCCAAAUCUUUUCUAAGCUUCAAAAAAUUCUUCAUUAGUGGUUGAGAGAGAGAGAAAGAGAUUUCACUGUCUUUUUUUUAGAAGUUGGAGAGAAAUAGAGUUAGCAGUUGUGUUUGAGAAUUUGAGGGAGUAUAGUUUAGGAGAAAUACUACCAACUUUCCAAUUUCAAUAGAUUCAACUCAUAUCUUGAUUAAUAUGACAGUAUCUAAAAGUGGUUUAAUGUAUAUGGAAACCAGAUAUUUAUAAAAAAUUAUUCCCACCUAACCACGUAUAGAAAAAAUAAUUAUGAAAAAUUUCUGAAAUCUCAUGGUGCGUACUCCACCCCCCCCCCCCCCCCCCCCCAUUCAACUCAUCUCUUUCAUUCCCUACCAAAUUUGCAAACACUCAUAUUGAUUGGAAAGAAACUCUUGAAGCUCAUGUAUUCAAAGAAGAUCUUUCCAGAAAUAAGAAAGAAGAAGUGAAGGUUGAUAUUGAAGAAGGUAGAAUUUGAAUAAAAGAGAGAGAUUGAUGAUAAAAUAGAUCUGUCUUGAAUUCAUUGCUGGAAAAAUCUUACAUCAAAUUGCUUUAAUGCAUCAACUUAUAAGAAGAUUAGUUAUUUUGGAGAAUGAAAACUAGCAGAACCGCUAACAAUGGUGGUGGAGACGUGGAGAUGUUAAAAGAGAGAAACCUUAGUUGACUUUCUAUUUCAUCUCCUAAAAUUAAGUAAUUAAUAAUAAAAAUAAUUAAGUAAUUAAGUAAUCUAAAGUCACCUUUGCUCUCCGUACUUGCCCCCCUGACUAUGUUCAGGAAACAACCGAAUGGUUUGACCACAAGCUUCGUGCAGCCCUUCAAAAUAUUGUGGUUUCUGAUGGACCUGGUUUUGGCGAUCUACAGUGGCGUAUGGCAACCCUCCCAUUGCGUAUGGGUGGACUUGGUAUCUAUUGUGCUACUGAUGUUAUGAAGUUUGCUUUCGUAGCUUCACGUACGCAAACCAAGGAUCUCCAGGACCACAUUCUUCGAGGUUGUGACACUCCACCUAUGGGUAAUUUUUUCGAUACUGCCAUUGCUAGUUUACAUCUUUCUAUACCUGAUUUUGAUCUCAGUAAUCUUGCUCCAACUGCUACCGUCCCCUUCAGACCCCAACAUGUCUUGGCGGAAGCAUACUACAACAAGAUUAGUUCUGGUCUUGAGAGGGAAUUUAAGUUGUCAGCUAGACAAAAAGCCGUGAUUGGAUGUGUGCAGUCAGAACAUGCCAAAGAUUUUCUCCUUGCUAUCCCGAUGGAAGGGCUUGGACAACGCAUGACGCCUGUAGAAUAUCGUGCCAUUCUUCGUUAUUGAUUGAUGAUCCCUCUAUAUUCAGAUGGUGAGCUUUGUCCAGUGUGCAAGAAGAGUAGACUUGAUGCUUUCGGGGACCAUGCGGCCCAUUGUAAGCAUUACCCCGGCUUCAAGUACAGGCAUUACCACAUUAGAGAUAUCUUGUGUGAUGUGUUCUGGCGGGCUGGCGUACAGGUUAAGAAGGAGGCUCCUGUUAACUUUCUUACUGAUCCUAAGGAAGGAAGAUCGAUAUUACGUCCUGCUGAUAUUCUGGUCUAUAACUGGUCUGAAGGUAAACAUGCGUGUGUUGAUGUUAUAGGGGCGUCUCCGAUGGUUGGGCUGAGUGCUGGGAUUUUUGAGGUGGGGCUAGCAGCUAGCAAUGCAGCAGCGGCAAAAGUGGAGAAACAUGACGGAGCUUGUAGGGCUAACCAACAUAGUUUCAUCCCCUUUGCAUUUGACACAUUUGGAUUGCUAGGCUCAGAAGCAGUUGAGCUCCUUAGGAGAGUGCAAAAGAUAAUGGAUAGCAACGUGAUGACUGCAGGUUCGAACGAAUAUGUAUUUAGGAGAAUCGGGUUUGCUAUCCAGAAAGGACUUGCCGCGCAGUUUGUAGUGCGUUUGUCCUCUACUUUUGUGUAAUUCGUUGAGCUUAUCAAUAAAAUUUGGAUUUUCAUCAUUAAUAAAAAUAGAAUAAUUUUUCUUAUUAUUUUUACAAUAAAUUUUAAUAUUUUGGAUAAGAUGUUUAAUUGAAUUGGUUGCAAAUUAUUUGCAAACAUAUUGAUUUAAGUUAAUUAUGUGAUUUUCAGAAAAUACCCAUAAUUUUUGUGUUCACAAAUUAGUGUUUAUGAAGUUAUAAAAAAAUAAAAAUAAAUAAAUAAAUUAGUGUUUAUCUUAUUAAGUUAACUUUAAAUAUUUAAUUUAGAGUUAAAUUACUUUAAUAGGCAUACUAAUUAAGUAUUAUUUAAAAGUUCUAAAACAACCUUUCAAUUUCAAGAUUUAAUCAAAUUCUCUUCAAUUAGAGCAUCAAUUUUUCUCUAAUUUGGAGAGAGAAUAUUUUCUUAAGGGCAUGCCCAACUUUAAUAGAAAGUAUAGAUAUGUAAAUAAAUUUUCGGUUCGGUUCGGUUAAAUGAACUAAUUAGAAUGGAAAUUGGAACUGGACUGUUGUAUACUCUGUUCAGUCCGAUUUUGGUUCGGGUUUGUCCAUUUUUUUCCCGUUUUUUUUUCGGUUCUACGGUUUUUUACCCACCCCUAACUACAAUCUCAAAGCAAACUUUCUAGUUACCAAAUCAUGCAACCCCUAGAAGAAUUAACACCAAAUACGCUUUUGAAUGGGCAAUAUAUGACUGCGAGUAGUGUCGUAAUGGCAACAUCUUUGUUUGAUUAAACAUCCCAAAACAAGGAAACAUACCUAGUUUUAGCUUCAAAUUCAAGUUUAUGAAGCAAUGUCACCUAUGUAAUCAUUAUGAAAAUAUUGGGUCAUUUUCCAGAUGGAACAAAGAUUAUGGUGCCUCUUCCCAAAUGGGACCAAACAAACCGAAAAUAUCCAAAAUUAGAAUUGUUUACCCAAAAAGUGAGUUUAAAAAGUGAUAUUUUGCAUACCUAUUAUACUUUAUUGUCUGCUGAUGUGACCUUUUGAUAGUAAGUGAUUACCAAUUAAACACCAUUGAUUUUUUAGAUAACAUCUUGACCAUUAGAUUAAGCCAUUCUACAUAGAAUUUUAUAUAUUUUAGAUUAUACAAUAUGAUCCUCUCCAUGUUUACAUGGAACUUAAAUGUUGGGUAUGUAUACAUUGCAAGAUACAUUGUAACAUAUUAUCAAUACUGUUAUUGUUGACCUUAGAAAAGGUUAAAAACAAUAUAAAAAAAUAAUUGAUGAGGGGUAACAUUACAUGAUUUGUAAAUAUUGUUUCUACACUGUCAUCAUCAUUUUCUAUAAUGUCCUCUAAAUGCUCAAUGAAUAAGGUGAGAGAACAUUUCAUUAAGAAACUUUAAGGAAUGGAAAAGACCGCAUCCAAUUUUUUUGCUUUGGCCAAUUAUACUUGAAUCUCCAAGCUUCACAAUUUAAAAUAUAUGUUGAUUCCAAUCGUGUUUGGAGUGAUGAAACGGAUAGAUAGUUGAUUGGCGCAAGUAUAGAAUAGGGUGUAAAGUAAGAGCUUUACACCACUAGAUGAUGUUACUCUGAUUCUUGGGUUAAGGAUUGGUUAAUUGAAGUGAAUUUGGGUUGAGGAAGAAGAAAGAUGAUCCUAAUUCUUUUAGGACAAAAUACUUUGGUAAAAAAAAGAGUAUUAAUAAUAAAGACAUCAAGGAAGCAAUUAAGAAAGUAAAGGAUUUAAAAAAUGUUUAUAUGAUGUUAUUGAACAAACUCUAUCUGCUUCUAAUUUACUUGCUUCCUGAAAAAACAAAAAAUAUUGAUCUCAAGUAUGUGCAAAAAAAUUUGUUUUUUUCUUCAUAAUUUAUUCUCUAGAUUUACAAUUGUGUUUGCUCUAAUAUCCAUUAUUUCCUUUCGAUGAAAUUUAAUGUCCUCUGAGUGGUUUAAUUUAGUGUAAACUCUGAAUGUUGAAUAUAGUUUUAUCAUUUUCUCUGGAUGGACAGAUAUGUCGGCUCCAUUACACAUUAUGUCAUAUAUAUGUUACUAUAAUGUCUUCUCACUUUAUUGUUAUGUCCUUACCCUGACAAUAAUUAUCCUCUGGAUUUAUUAAUCCUAGGUAUGUUGUAUAUGAAUGUUUUGCGGGUUCAUUAGAAAAUAUCCACAAGCUAUGAUGCACGGACACCUCUCCCUAAAUCUUACGCACCGGUGUCCGACACCGACACGUUGGGACACGUGUUGGACACUUCAAAUUAAGUGUCCUACCUGAGAAAAUAAAAAUUUCUAAACUGGACACUUUCGAACACUGCAUUAGGACACUACUGACACCUUAGUUAAGGGAUCAUUUUGUAAUUUUAGUUUUUUUAUAAAUAAAGUAGGUCAGGGAUAGAAUAAAAAACAUAUUUGUGAAGAGAGAAACAAGUAAAAGACGAAACUUCUCUUACAAACCUCAAGGUCUCACCUACCCUCUCUUCAUCUUCUACUUUCUCUUUCUCUCUGUUACUCUUCAUCCUUCUCUGUUACUUUUCCUCUUCAUCUUCCUUCAUUUAUUCUCUCUAAGCUUGUUUUUCUUAGCUUCUUCAUCUUUCACAAGACUUUGUUGCUUCUCUAAUCUACAUAGAACAACCAUGGCUUCAGCUUCAACAAAUGGUGUGUGUAUUGCUAUUUUGUAAUCUUCAAAUUCAGUUGAUGAAUGCUAGAAAUUGACUUUGAUAAAAGACAAUCAACAUUGUUACUUGUCCCCUUUUAUUCUCUAUAAAAUGUGUUUUAUAUAUAUCUAUAUAACAAAUCAUAGUUUUCUCUAACACAAGGACCGUCGGAUUUAUGUCUAAGAUAACCGAGUACGUAGAUUUGUCUCAAGACAACUAAGGCCUUAGAUCAAUCUUUCUCUAGAUAUAGAAUCUUAUUUAAUAAAUAACCUCCAAUUUUAAUAAAUUAAUAAAUAUAAUUAAUAUUUAGAACUAACUACAUUAGUAACCCUCUUCUAAUAAUUACAUGAAAUACUCAUUUGUAACCCCUCUCUAAUAUAAUCAAUAUACACCAUUUGUAUUCCAAAAACAAUUUUCUAUUUUGAUUUAACCCAUAUUUUUAUUUAAUGACCCAUGUAAAAAUAAUUAAUGUAUGUAACCAUUAUAUUAACCAACCAAUAACUUUUGUAACUCACUAAUUCGUCAUAACCCCCAAUUUUAAUAAAUUAAUAAAUAUAAUUAAUGCUUAGAACUAACUACAUUAGUAACCCCCUUCAUUAAUUACAACAAAUACUCAUUUGUAACCCCUCUUUAAUAUAAUCAAUAUACACCAUUUGUAUUCCCAAAAACAAUUUUCUAUUUUGAUUUAACCUAUAUUUUUAUUUAAUUACCCAUAUUAAAAAAAUUAAUGUAACCAUUAUAUUAACCAACCAAUAACUUUUAUAACUCACUAUAAUUCAUCAUAUCACUCCAUAAUAUUUUUUUCAUUUUAAAUUAACUCAUGUUUUUAUUUAAUUACCAUGUGUAAGAACCAUCAAUAUAUAAUAUUUCAAAGCGGUCUCAUAAACACAACCGUUAGAUGUCUAUGGAGACAACUAUAACCAUCAGAUGUAAAUUAAAUUAUAUAAUCGAUGUAAUAAUAAUCUUUAGAUGUGGAAAAUCAAUCCUAACCUUUAGUUUUAUGUUGAGACAAUCGUAGCCAUAGGAUGAAGAGAAUCUUAUGUAAUAUUAAUUAUAAAAAUGAAUACAAAUAAUAAAUGUACAUAUUUAUUAAUAGAUUUGUAACCCUUAUUUACAAGAGUUGGUUAUAGUUGGUGUAACCCUUAUUUAUUAAUAGAUUUAUUUGUUACCCCUAUUUAAUUAUAAAUAGCCCUCUCAUUUUUUAUUUUUUUAAUGAGCCCUCCCCUAUCAUUCCCCUCACCAAAUAUACCUCUCCAAAUACAUGUUUUCUAAUAUAUCUUCCUUUCUCAUUCUAAUGAGUUUUUUUCCUGUUAUCUAAUAGGAUUAAUGGAAAUUUUUUUUUUUUUUUUUUUUUCAUAUUUGAUGGUUUUUUUUUUUUUUUUUUUUUUUUUAAAUUAUUGGAAGUAUUUGUUUCACACCAGUUGAUACUUUCUUAAUGAUUUUGAUGCUGACAAUUCUUUUUUCUCAUCUUUAUUUAACCUUUUUACUCAUAUUAAAUUUGUUGUAUGGCCUAUAGCAAAGGAACCAACUAUGCAAACAUACAACAAAUGAUUUGACAAAUUUUAUUUACUGUAUGUCUAUAGGUAUCUUGAGAGUCGAGGUAAUUUUUUUUUGAAGAGAUCGAUGUUAUAUAGUUGACCUUUUGGAAGUAACGCGUUAUCGCCCCCUACAUACAUAUCGUCAAGUAGAAAACUAUAGUGACUCAUUUGGUUAAACUAUUUAGAAGAAAUGUCUUACAUGCAUUUUUUUUUCUUUGCUCUAUGUAUACGUGUAUUGAGAUAUAAUAUGUAAUUCUUUUUAUGAUAGAUACAAUAUCAUGUUUGGUUUGUAAAAUCUUUUGUUCCUAGAAAACCUUCAUGUUAUCUAUGUGGCAUAUGCAACAAUAGUUGUUUUACUCCACUAACAGUUCUCAAAUCAUUUUAUAUAUGUUUGUUAAAUUAAUUUCAAAAUUACAAAUUCUACUAAACUCUAUGUAGAUUGUAGAGGGAUAAGAGGAACAAAAAUACUCUUAAAAAUAUUAUGUAUAUUACUAUACAUAUAUAAUGUUAUGACAAUUUUUUGUGCUUAAGAAAUUUAACCCUAGGAAUUAAAAUAAACCAAAAUUUGUUUGAUUUUUAGAAUAAAUCAAAAAUAUCAUUUGUAAUCCCAUUUCUUAUAUAACAAAAAAAAAAAAAAAAAAUUUACAACCCACUUCACUAAAAUAAUCGUGCCGUAGACACGGGUUAUCACUAGUAUAUAUAUAUAAUAUAACUAACGUGUCAGUGUCCUACUUUUUUAAAAAAUUACGUGUCGGCGUGUCUGUGUCGGUGUCCGUGCUUCAUAGUCCACAAGUAUAUCCAAAAGAAGAAAAAUGAUUACGCUCUACAUGGAUGUAUUUUUGGCUUUCAUGAUUUGGGCAUACCAACACAUUUUAACUCUGGGGCCUAGAAGAGAUGAUAUUGUUAAGUUCUCAAGAUUGUUGGAAUGAAGGGAUCUCCCCUUGAAAUAAAGAAAAGAAAAAACUAUUGAUAAAUUGUUGCGGAAUAAGAAGCACAAAAAACCAAAAAAAAAAAAAAAGAUUAUCUUUAUUAUCCAAGGAAACCCAGCGCGACAGAGAUUUAUAAUCAAAGCAACGACACUUGCAUAUAGUCUAGAGUUUAUUAAUUUAGAAAAUGAAGACACGUUUUUACUGUUGACAUGUUGCAUAUAAUCCAAUGGUAAAAAAAAAAUUGAAAUCAACCCAACGGUUGAGAACUCGCUACUGACAUUUUGUCAGUAAUGAAGAGAGAAAAGAUAAAAUAUUUGCUACAAAAUAAAAUAUGUUGGUGACAGGGUACAGAAUAGUAGAAUGGGUAUGAAAAUUCAGAAAAAUCAAUUUGGUGAACAAUGUUGUUCUUGGUCAUGGACUCAUGGGCCAGUAAAAGGAGGGCAACUUUGGUAAAUUGUAGCAUUAAGUUAUUUUGCCAAAUGGCAACUUCUGAUAAGUGAUGAUGUUUAGAUCUAAAGAAGAACAUUGAGCUAAAGUUAUAAAUACACAUUUAUAAACCCUAUCUAGAUCUAGCUCAACUUAAUAUAGAAGAGAGAGCGGCUAUUAAAUAAAGUUUGUGAAAGUAGUGAGUUCAGAUGAAUUCAGAAUGGGUGGUGUCGGAAAAUAUCAAGGGGAAUGGUGGCUCGGUUCGGUUUUUUUAGUAUUCAUAAGAAUGGAGAACCUUACACGCAGCUGGAUCAGAAAUUCGGCUGCUAUGUGAACAGCCCUAAUGUUUUCCUUGUUUUUACACUUGGACUCUGUUCGUUUCACAUAAUCAACUAAAUUGCAGAAAUUAGUAAAGAGACUGCUAAACCCUACUCGAUUCCGAGGAAAAUAAGGAAGAAACACGUUUAUAGUGGUGAGUAUAAACUAUUGGUAGGAGUAUUUGUUUUUAUUUAAUUGCUGAGAUCCUAUUCAUUUUAUUUAAUGUUUUCUCCUUUUUCACAUUUCUGAUUAUCCAACAACUCUUUGUAUAAAAUCAUUUUUUCCUUGUAGUUUUUGAGGGAAAAGUGUGAGCUUGGAUUGGAAGAUUAGAAUGGGUGGUAACGGAAAUUCUCAUGGACAAAUUAUUGAUGAAAAUAUUGUAAUGGUAAAGACUCGAAAUGAAAGAAAAAACGAUGUUCUCCAAUAUUGGGUGUAACUUAUCAAAUCAUGACAGUCCAAUAUCAAGGUUCUCCAAUAUUGAGUGAUGGAUAUUAUUGCUGAAUGUGUCCUCUUAGAUUUCCAUUUGUGAACAAUAAUUGUACGUUUGAUGUUGGAUCUGUAUCAAAAUUGUUUUUAAUAUCAGAGCAUGUCGAUCAGUGGUGAGGAGUUUAUUUUAGGUGAAACCAUUGAUCUCAACGAGCCAGGGAACUGCAAGUAGUUUGGUCACUUGGUGA